rnacentral:lncRNA from 1 species
GGAGCAGGGCAAGAUUGCAUCUCCAUCCUGAUCGAUCGUUUGAUUAUUGGCGAGCUUCAUUCCAUUCCAUCAGUUCCUUUGGCGGAGGAUGUCGUGCUGCGGAGGCAACUGCGGGUGCGGCUCCGGCUGCAAGUGCGGCAGCGGCUGCGGAGGGUAAUAAGCCUGCCUGUGCCUGCACUUCUUCCCUUCCCUUAUUCCUCUCUCUCUUUCUCUCUCUCUCUCUCUCUCUCGGAGUCAGAUCUGAUGAUGAAAUGGUGGGUUCCCUGCUGAUCUGGCUCUGUUUUCGCCUUGCGGCUUCAUCAGACCUGUGCUUCGAUCCGGCAGGCUGUGCUUCCGUAGAAAUGUUCUCUCUCUUUUUUAAUAACAUACAUAAAAACAAAAAACUUUUGGGGGGGGUAUACAAGUAAUAGAAUAUGUCAUGAUUUUAUUAGCCUGUGUGUAUGGAUCUUUGAUGCUGGAGGGAGGAUUAUGUGCAGAGAUAGGAGAUCGUUCUCUCCCUCCCUCCCACGGCUGCGGGCGGCUUGAUUUUCUUAUGAAAGUUCUUGUUUUUUCAAGGUCGUAUAUGAUGAUUUUUCUGGCCGGGUUGUUCGUCGUGCUCAUCGUCAUCCUAUCGAUCUGUCUGUGUGUAUGCAGGUGCAAGAUGUACCCGGACAUGGCUGAGCAGCAGGUGACCACCACCGCCAAGACUCUCGUCAUGGGUGUCGCACCAUCGUCCAAGGGGUAUGUAUAUAUGCAUGCUCCCUCAUCCCUCUCUCGUUUUCUGUACAGUUCUGCUUUCUUGGCUCCAUCGAUAUGACGGGCUCCUAGCUAAUAAUUAAUAGCCAGCAACACAUGUGGUGAUCUCUACUCUACUAUUUUUGUCCUAUUUGCCAUCGAUUUUUGUACUGCUAGCAGCACUGGAGUAACGUGUAGUGAAAGUUUCAUCAGCAACCGUAAAAAGGUGACGACACCGAAAUCACACGCUGCGAUGUCAUGUGCCAUCGUCAAGGAAUUAAUUAAACACUGAGAUAGACAUGCAUGCUUCUGCUGCUUUUCUCUGCGCCAGCAAAGAAAACCUUGAAAAACAACACUGAUAUGACGAUAGUCUUUUUUUUUUUUUGUUGGCACUUGUCAUGUACUGAAAAGUCUUGACACGGCAUACGUUCUGGUAGGGAACAUGACAAAGAUCGAUCUCUGGUCACUCGUCUGCUCCCCCUACCUGCACGUUGUAUCAUGUAAAUCCACAGUAUAUAUGCUGCUGUGUAUUGUUAUACAUGUAUGUAUGUAGCUAGUACUCCUGUGAGAGCACGCAUGCGCACGUACUGACUGUGUUUGCCUGGUACGUGACGAUGGAUGCAGGCACGCCGAGGGCGGGUUCGAGGCGGCGGCCGGCGCCGGAGCUGAGAACGACGGGUGCAAGUGCGGCCCCAACUGCAGCUGCAACCCCUGCACCUGCAAGUGAGCUGUAUAAUAACCCCCUGCACUGCACUGCAGCCCGGAGGAAGGACGGAUUCCCUUAGCUGUAGUAUAGCAGUGUCGUCACUGUGUGUGUGUUUGAGUCAGCCAGUCAGUCGAGUGCCAUGGCACCAUAUGCUAGUGGUUCUGGUACUGAUGGGAACCAAUAAUAAUUGUACUGGGAUGUUGGCGUCGUGUCGUCCUUCCCGUGCUCCUCCGGGGGCUCAUCUACUAGCAGUCGGUGUUGUGUUGUGUGUUUGUGGGUGCAGUGCAGCACAGCAGCAGGCCAUGCCCCCUGCUCUGUGGGCACGUCGAUCGUGUGCGACUUUGUUUGUGCUCUGUCACCAUCCAUCUAUUACCUAUAAUAUCCCCCGUCUUUGUGUACUGUGCGUACCCUUCUUAUCUUGUUUGCGAAUGUGUUUACCUUUCUUCUGUCAAUCAUCCUGCUCACUGCUUCAGUAAUAUUUUUUUCAUAAUAAAUCAGCAUCAAUCGUCUUACUAUUUUAAUUAUACUAUUUUUUUAUAACAAAUCAGCAUAUGUAAUGUGAGUAUUAGCACUACAACAUUCUCCAAAAAUCUCUAGAAAUUCUGAAAACAAAAAGGAGCCCAAUGCGGCCUGCAUUAUCUGCAACCUCUAGUAUAUCGCUUGAUGGGCCAUGGCCGCUGCAUUCACUAACAUUCUACCUUAGAUGGGCCACGUUUGGGCUACCUAUUUUCCCCAUCCUUUCCCGACAGAAAAGGAGCCCUUGGGAAGUGCACGAUGGCCUCGAUACAGCCCAGUAAAUACUUCGGCCCGCAAAGUUUGGGCUCUGCCAAUUCCCCUCGGCUCCGCCUUCCCCGUCUUGUCGCUGCCGGGUGCCGGCGGCGGCGCUCCUCCGAGUUCUGCUGCCACUGCAAUGGUCGCCGCUACUCCGGCCAGGCAUAGGCAGCAGUGCAGCGGCUUCUUCUGCGCUGGCCAUGGCCUGCCACUGCCAGGCUAGUCUAUUUAGCUAGUCUACUGGAGAUACUAUUACUAGAUCUAUAGGCUUGGAUUAUAUAUUAUUCAUCAAUUUGUCGGAGAAAAUUUCCACCAGUUUCUUGAUUUGAUGAUGACAUUGUUUAUUUAAUGAGAUCAAAAUGAAGUUAGUCUUCCUUGCAGAUGCGAAAAAGUCCGUCAAGAAGGUGAUUCUGUCCAACUUUUUUUUUUCCCCUUAAGUGUAACUCUGGUUUUCUGUACUUCUUUUCCUGUUUUUUUAUUAAUGCAUUUUCUGUAGGGGCUUUUGCCCCUCUAGUUUCCAAAUAAUAAUAAUAAUAAUAAUAAUAAUAAUAAUAAUAAUAAUAAUAAUAAUAAUAAUAAUAAUAAUAAUAAUAAUAAUAAUAAUAAUAAUAAUAAUAAUAAUAAUAAUAAUAAUAAUAAUAAUAAUAAUAAUAAUAAUAAUAAUAAUAAUAAUAAUAAUAAUAAUAAAUGCGCUUUAAUUUAUAUAUCAUGAUCGCCGGCACCGGCAACCGCGCGUGCGAGAGGUCGCCGUCAAUUUCCUGCAGCACGUACUCGCGGCCGGCCUAGCGGCGAGCCGGCGAGGAGUUGCCGAACGAGGCGAUCAGCAUCGGCCGGACGUUCCACGUCAACAUCGUCAACCCCUCCUGAGGUUCUGCCUUGUGGGCUCCUGGCGCUCGCGACGAUCGAGCAAUCAACGACGCAGUGGGCGAUCAGUCAAUUUAUCGAUAGUUAAUUAGUCUGCCGGCUUUUGUUUACAGGGGAAGGAAUUGGCAAACUUUCCCUAGCUUGGAAGGUUUCAACGAGGUCAGCUUCAUUGAUUUCGUAGUUAAUUCCAUAAAUUUCUGACUUUUUUGAAGACCUGUGACCUCUCCAAAUGUUUUCAGAAUCUGCUGCAAGUAUCUGAGCUGCAAUGUCGGAUGAACAGUGCUACAUCGUCAGCGUAUAUAGAAUUGUUGUCAUGCGGAUUGGGUCAGCUAACGAUUGGACUCAGGAUUCAGGAAUCCUUGAUCUGUUGCCAUUUGUAGUGCUCGUUUGUAUGGGGGUCCAUUGCCAAAACAAAAAGCAUAGGAGAAAGUAGGUCACCUUGUCGUAGUCCAGCCGGUGCUGAAUUGGUCUUCCGGCCUUCCCAUUGAGCAGCAGUGUACUCUAGCACCAGCACUAAGAUUAUGGGGAGCAAUUAUACAAGUGAGAUGCAUGUCAUAUCAUGGUGACACAAGAUAGGAUAAAUCAGCUGUUAUAAAUAGCACCAGCACUAAGCACAGGUUGCAUGUAUUAACACAGCUAGUCUUACUCUUACACACCUGGUUGAGACACAUACUACACCAGCACAGCAGACGCAGCCCAUCAAUCCUCCAAAUGCGUAGCUAUAGAGCAACUUGCACGACGGUGCUGCCCACGGUGUGCUUGCUGCUGCUAACCGCCUCGAUGUUGGGCUUCGGCGCCACACCGGUGGCUGCAGAAGCCGGCGACGAGGCCGCUCUCCUGGCCUUCAAGGCCGCAGCAGCCGGUGGCAAGAGCGAUGCUCUUGCUUCGUGGAACCGCAGCACCACCGGUGGGUACUGCAGCUGGGAGGGGGUGAGGUGCCGGGGCACACGCCGCCGAGUGGUGGCGUUGAGCCUGCCGUCUUAUGGGCUCACCGGCGUCCUCUCGCUCGUCAUUGGAAACCUAUCAUCCUUGAGGAUUCUGAACCUGACCUCAAACGGGUUUAGCGGGAACAUCCCCGUGAGCCUUGGUCAUCUGCGCCAUCUCCAUACUCUCGACUUGAGACACAAUGCCUUCUCUGGCACAAUCCCAACCAACUUGAGCUCUUGCACUAGUCUAAUGAUCAUGGCAAUUGGCUUCAACAAUAUCAGCGGCAACGUGCCCCUUGAGCUCGGCCACAACCUGAAGCAGCUCAAGGUGCUCAGCCUGACCAACAACAACCUUACGGGACCGAUCCCGGCGUCAUUGGCUAACUUAUCAUCAUUGAGUAUCCUAGAUCUCUCGUUCAAUCAUCUCGAGGGUACUAUCCCGACUAGUCUUGGCGUCCUGAGGGAACUUUGGUAUCUUGAUCUCAGCUACAACAAUAACCUCUCUGGUGAGCUCCCAAUGUCCCUUUACAAUUUGUCUUCCUUGGAAAAGUUGCAUAUUCAGUGGAACAUGCUCAGUGGUAGUAUGCCUACGGAUAUCGGCAGUAAGUUUCCAAGCAUGCAAAUCCUUGACUAUGUGGCAAACCAGUUCACUGGGCCCAUCCCUGCUUCGCUCUCUAACCUCACACUACUUCGGCAACUCCACCUUGGACAGAAUUUGCUUAGUGGAUAUGUGCCUCGCACCAUGGGGAAACUACGAGCACUGCAACAUCUGCACUUGGUCAACAACAUGUUAGAAGCUAACCAUGCGGAGGGGUGGGAAUUUGUUACUUCUUUGUCAAACUGCAGCCAGCUCCAAAUAUUAGAUAUCUCUAACAACACCGCUUUCACUGGACAGCUACCAAGCUCAAUAGUGAAUCUCUCAACAAACCUGCAAAGACUCCGCUUGGACAACACUGGAAUUUGGGGAGGCAUCCCCUCCUCGAUCGGCAAUCUGGUUGGCCUUGAAAUCCUUGGUAUUUUUAAUACUUAUAUAUCUGGAGAAAUUCCAGAUAGCAUUGGCAAACUAGGAAACUUGACUGCACUUGGUUUGUUCAAUAUUAACUUGUCAGGACAAAUACCUUCGUCUGUUGGCAACCUCUCAAAAUUGGCUAUCCUUGAUGCAUAUCAGACCAAUCUAGAGGGACCAAUUCCACCAAACAUAGGGAAGAUGAAGAGUAUAUUUUCCCUUGAUUUGUCACUGAACCACCUGAAUGGAUCAAUUCCUAGAGAGAUUUUUGAACUGCCACUUCUAACUUUAAGUUACUUAGAUUUUUCAUACAAUUCAUUAUCAGGAUCUAUACCCUAUGAAGUUGGUAACUUGGUGAACCUUAACAGAUUAGUUCUAUCAGGGAACCAAUUAUCUGGUGAGAUACCUGAAAGUGUUGGGAAGUGCACUGUGCUGCAAGAACUUAGGUUGGACAGUAACUUGUUUAACGGAAGCAUACCACAACAUCUAAACAAGGCUCUAACUACACUCAACCUGUCAAUGAAUGAAUUAUCUGGUUCUAUUCCUGAUGCCAUAGGAAGUAUUGUUGGUCUAGAAGAACUGUGCCUGGCACACAACAAUUUGUCUGGACAAAUCCCUACAGCUCUGCAGAAUUUGACAUCAUUGUUGAACUUGGAUUUGUCCUUCAAUGAUCUGCGAGGGGAAGUGCCAAAAGAUGGGAUUUUCACAAUGUUGGAUAACAUAUCAAUCAUUGGAAAUAACAAGCUUUGUGGAGGAAUACCCCAGCUUCAUUUAGUUCCAUGCAAGAUAGAUUCUGUGCAAAAGAACAGAAGAGGGAAACUGAAGCAUCUUAUAAUAGCGCUAGCAACAACCUUUGCACUCUUAUUAUUAGCUAUUGUUAUUGCACUCGUUCACUUGAUCUACAGGAAGCAAAGACGAAAGCAGAAGGGCCCAUUCCAACCACCAACAGUUGAGGAACAAUAUGAAAGAGUUUCUUAUCAUGCAUUAUCGAAUGGAACCAAUGGAUUCUCAGAAGCUAAUUUGCUUGGUAGAGGGAGCUUUGGGACAGUCUAUAAAUGUCUUUUUCAAGCUGAGGGGACUGUUGUGGCUGUAAAGGUUUUUGACCUUCAACAAUCUGGCUCUACUAAAAGUUUUGUUGCCGAAUGUGAGGCACUGAGAAGGGUGCGCCACCGCUGCCUUAUGAAGAUCAUCACAUGCUGCUCAAGCAUCAAUGAACAAGGUCAGGAUUUCAAGGCAUUGGUUUUUGAGUUCAUGCCAAAUGGUAGCUUGAAUCAUUGGCUCCAUAUAGAAUCUGGCAUGCCCACUUCGAACAAUACUCUCAGCCUUGCACAAAGGCUAGAUAUCGUUGUUGAUAUCAUGGAUGCACUGGGCUAUCUUCAUAAUCACUGCCAACCACCAAUCAUCCACUGUGAUCUCAAACCAAGCAACAUCCUCCUUUCACAAGACAUGAGCGCCCGAGUUGGAGAUUUUGGCAUAUCUAGAAUCAUUUCAGAAAGUGAAAGUAUAAUUGUGCAAAAUUCCAAUAGCACAAUUGGCAUAGGCUCCAUUGGCUAUGUUGCUCCUGGUAAAUGCUAUGUUUUGGAUUUUUUUUUGUUUACACCAAAUCCUUUCAUAAAUAUGGCAUGAUGAUCAUUACUUCCCUUUAUUUCUUUUUACAUGAUAAUAGAGUACGGUGAAGGUUCUUCCAUCACAACUUUUGGCGAUGUUUAUAGCCUCGGCAUAUUGCUGCUCGAGAUUUUUACAGGGAGGAGCCCAACAGAUGAUAUGUUUAGAGGUUCAAUGGAUCUACAUAAGUUUUCAGAGGAUGCUCUUCCAGAUAAAAUUUGGGAGAUAGCUGAUACGACAAUGUGGCUACACACUGGCACCCAUGAUAGUAAUACAAGAAACAUAAUUGAGAAAUGUUUGGUUCAUGUCAUUGCUCUAGGGGUAUCUUGCUCAAGAAAACAGCCUAGAGAGAGGACACCGAUACAAGAUGCGGUCAAUGAGAUGCAUGCUAUCAGGGAUUCAUACCUCAAGUUUGUCAGACCUCUUGUGGUGGAACAUGGAGCAGGAACGAUCUUGUAGUAAUUUUCAAACAACACUGAAUAAGUAGAGCUAAAAAUGGCAAAAUGUGAUCAUUGCUCUAGCGCAUGUCUUACUGCAUAUAUGUUGUCAACUGAAACAACUGAUCAUUGUUGUAGCAUGUGAUUAUAUAUGCAAAUUGGUGUAACAACUGAAGCACAUGCAUGUGAGGAUUGAAGUCUCUUUUGGGUCUGUUUGUUUAUCAUAUAUGAGUGUAAAAGGGAAAAGUAAAAUGACAGGGAAAUUUACCUCCUUAAGAUAAUAAAUGCUUGAGAAGGCACCAACUGCAGUUAUUUGCAAGAGCAAUGAUCACAGCUGAAGGUGUAUUAGCAUAUGUUGUGGAUGUAUGCAGCCACCUGCAAUAUUAGAAAUGUACCCUCUUUAGAUAUGAAAUGUUUGAGUCUCUAUAGCAGCGAUGAUUCAUAGCAUACUCUAUGCUCCACAUCGACAUAUUGAUUAUGGAUCAAAACAUUUAAAAAAAUGACUGUAUUGAAAGAUUAAGCAUAUGCAUUUCAAUUUUCCAAAGACUACAGCCUACAGGUUCAUACUACAAUACAGUUCCUGUAGAAAUUUAAUUAUAUGUAAAUGUAAGAAAUUAAAGCAGCCUCUAGCUCAAACUAUGUCUUUGUGGCAACCAGGCUGCACAGAUGAGAGAAAUACAAGAUGUAGCAGUUCAGAAACCCAAUUGAAUUUGGGAUUCCUAACUGAGCGUCCAUCCAAUUUCAUUCAUAAUUUCACUUAUACUGCUGCCAUACCAAACAGAGGCACCCAACUAUCACUGCAAGUACGGCUGUACGGGAGACCAGAGGUAGGCAACCUAGGAGAAGGAGAACCUGGUGACGACCUCGAUGCCCGUGGAGACCCUGGCGAGCUCGCAAGUCGCAAGGUAGGACGACGAGGCUGGCAGAGGUCUGGAUGCGCCGCCUAUUGACCGAGUCAGGCGGCCUCCGCAGCUAGCUUCUUCGAAGAUGCCGUUGGUGAAGGAGAUCGUGAUGGAGAUGGCGUUGGAGCAGAGCGUAGUGUCUCAUCUCACCUUCUUCUUCCUCGCCGCCGCCCUUGUUCGGUUCUCGCUCUCACACGCGGCGGGGCGCCGAUUCUACGACGACCGCCGCGGCGGCCUCCUUCAUGGGCUUCGUUGGCAGCCAGUGCGUAAUUGGGCCUGCAAAAAUCAUUCACGGCCCAUUCGAUUCCUACAAGGACAAGUGCACUGCAGUAGUGGGCUGAAACGGCUGACCUCUGGAGAGACUUCAAGUUGGAGAUGCAAAAAUCAAUCUGAGAUUUAUUUGGUUUUAGCUGAAACAGAGAAGAACUACUAGUUCUUCAGAUCUGUAGCACUUUCAUUUUUAUUUGACAAACAUUAUCCAAUCAUAGAGUAACUAGGCUUAAAAGAUUUAUCUCGUGAUUUACAGGUAAACUGUGCAAUUAGUUUUUAUUUUCGUCUAUAUUUAAUACUCCAUGCAUGUAGCGUAAGAUUCGAUGUGGCGGAGAAUCUUGAAAAGAUUUUGGUUUUUGGGUGAACUAAACAAGGGCCUUGUUUAGUUCACCCCAAAAUCCAAAAAGUUUUCAAGAUUCUCUGUCACAUCGAAUCUUGCGGCACAUGUAUGAAGCAUUAAGUAUAGACGAAAACCAAAACUAAUCACAUAGUUUGACUGUAAAUCACGAGAUGAAUCUUUUGAGUCUAGUUAGUUCAUGAUUGGAUAAUAUUUGUCAAAUAAAAAGGAAAGUGCUACAGUACCAAAAUCCGAAAUAAUUUCGGAACUAAACAAGGCCAAGGCCCUAGUUACAACACAUGGUGCGGAUGUCCCGGAUAUCUUUCCAGAUGAAUCUGUCUACAAUUAAUCACCUGAGAAAAGUUCGUUUAUCAUAUGAUGUUCUCAAUAUUUGGGCUUUCCCAGUAUCUGGUCAUUGUGCAACCUCUAUUCCUUUUCGGAGUUUGCAUGCUGUUCUGUGAUACGAAUCAUAUAUAGUUAUUUUUGGAUUCUCCUUUUCCUAACCCAAGUUCUUUUUGUGGCCCAUAGAUAAACCUAUUAUAGGCUUAUAACCACAGAAUAUGAGAAUCUCUGUAACAUCCAUUUCUUUUUAGCUACCUGACAUAAUGUAACUUUGGUUAAUACAUUUAUGUUUCUUUUUAAAAAUGUUAGGAUUACUCUUUUUAUUUAUCUAUUCUAUGUUUAACAACAGCCAACCUAUCUAUCCUUAAAUGCUAGUACUCUUCUUACAGCAUCAGAGCAGAGCUGAAUAGCUGAUGUAGGAUAUGAUGGUUAUACUCAAAAGUCAAAACCUUCAAUCACUCAGAGACUCUGCAGAACCAUGCUCUUGUUCUGACAGGACAAGGCAAAAAAUUGUUGUUCAAUCUUUCCAUUUUGUAUACGAACAAAGGGGUACUGUGUUACAUAAGUUUAGUUGAUGCUUGUGAUUAUGGUCUUAUUUUAAGCCAUCAAAUAAUCUUGUUUUGGCCUCACAGUCACAGACAUGGAAGAAUCUAUGCUACAGAAAUGUUAAACAUUAUCUACAAUUAGCAGCUCCACAAAUUUGUUGAAAUGUAUAUGCCUCCCUUUUGUUACAGUUCCCAGUAUGUCUAUGUACAGAACCAGAGCGUAUACUGCCAAAUUUAGCUCACAUGCACCUAAGCUGGUGCAUAUCAUGUUCACAGCUUCCACCAGCAGGCCAGAUGACAGAAUUACUUGUGUUCUUCAGAUUAGUGGUGCAGGCGCAGUAGUCAAUAUUGGUUCAGAACUACUGCAAUAUUUCGUACAAAUAGACUGGACGAUAUGAUGACCGCAAUCUUGCAUCCCUGUUCGGCUGCUCCUGCCCAACCAGUCUGCUAGCAUCACACAAUGCUCUUCCACUAGGCUUGGCUCUUUAAUUUUGACUCAGCUCUGAGGACCAAUGUGCUAGAGCCAUCAUAUAGUGCCCCAAAAUUGCGUUUGUUGACCACUGACAUCAGAAAAUGGCCGAAUCCCCGUCUUCUCCUUCGUUCACCGCCAAACACGCCAGCUGGAGACAAAUCUCUAGCUCUGCCCCUGCCAACUAGUAUCAGACCAAGAAUUUUUCACAUCAGGUGCUAUCGAGCAAUUUCUUUUUGAGGAAUCUGUAGGGAAGCCCCCAUAGCUUAUAUUAGGGCCUUGUUUAGUUCCGAAAAUUGAAAACUUUUCGGUACUGUAGCACUUUCGUUUGUUUGUGACAGAUAUUAUCUAAUCAUGGACUAACUAGGAUCAAAAGAUUCGUCUCGUGAUUUCCAGCUAAACUGUGUAAUUAGUUUUUGUUUUCGUCUAUAUUUAAUGUUUCAUGCAUGUGCCGUAAGAUUCGAUGUGACGAGGAAUCUUGAAAACUUUUUGGUUUUCGAGGUGAACUAAACAAGGCCUAGAUUCAAAAGAAACCACCAAAGUACAGUAGUUCAAGAUACAAAGAGAGAAACAAAAAUAAAGAAAGAUAUAGCAGAUUACACUAGAUUUUGUAUGCAUUGAUCAAAGGUUGCUGAGAGCCUUGACUUUACUCUAAAAGAGAGCAACGACAGCUCCUUGAUGAAGAGAAACUUGCAGUCCAUAGCUCACUCUGAACCUGACUGGUGAGGCUUGUUUAGAAAACCAAAAAAACUAAGGUUUUAAGAUUUCUCAUCACAUCGAAUCUUGCGGUAUAUACACGAAACAUUAAAUAUAGUCAAAAACUAAAAUUAAUUACACAGUUUGUCUGUAAAUCACAAGAUGAGGCCUUGUUUAGUUGGCAAAAAUUUUGGAUUUUAGGUAUUGUAGCACUUUCGUUUGUUUGUGUCAAAUAUCGUCCAAUCAUAGACUAAUUAGGGUCUUUAGGGUUUAGGGUUUAGGGUUUUAGAUGAGGCCUUGUUUGGAUUUUAGAUGAGGCCUUGUUUAGUUGGCAAAGAUUCAUCUCGCGAUUUACAGUCAAACUGUGUAAUUAGUUUUUGUUUUCGUCUAAAUUUUAUACUUUAUACAUGUGCCUUAAGAUUCGAUGUGACGGAGAAUCUUGAAAUUUUUUGGGAACUAAACAAAGUCUGAAUCUUUUAAGCCUAAUUAGUAUAUGAUUGGACACUAAAAAAUUUUGGGAACUAAACAAGACCUGAGUCGACCCGAAGUCCCCUUUCCUGUGGAGAAGUAUGUAGCCCAAUCAUGGCCCAACUAAGUUCGAAUGCAGUGGCCAUGGCCCAUGGCCCAUCAAGUGAUGUUCUAGAGGUUGCAGAUAAUGUGGGCCGUAUUGGGCUUAUUUUGUGAUCUACAUAAGGUUUUUUUCCCGUUUUUGGAAUUUCUAGAGAUUUCUGGAAAAUUGAUGCUGAUGUUGAUUUAUUGUGAAAGAAAAAACUAUUGAAGUAGUUGUUGAUUUUAGUUGAUAAACUCAAACGAGCAAAUUGAUUGCAUCAAGAAGGGUAAACACAUUCGCAAAAAUGAUAAGGGUACGCACAGUACACAACGCAGAUGUUCAUGUGGUUACUCACCCAACGCAGGAUUCAGUUCUGAACCAAUCUACACCGCAAGGAUGUGCUCUCUAAUGCUAUCUGUGAAGUGUGCAAUGAGCAUGAUGAAACCCCUGAACACAUCAUGGGUGGAUGCCUUCUAAGCACGGAGUUCUAGCAGAGGGUUGGCCUUAGCGCCAUGACUGACACUCGAUGAACAACAUUCACACCCUAAGCCCGCCAUCUGAAUUCUCAGCUUUCAUUGCUCUCUCCUGUUGGCAGUUUUGAAAGACGAGGAAUGCGGCAAUAUUCAGAAAUGAAACCCAAACAAUCGAUCAGGUUAUAGUUGCUUGUAGAGCAACGGCCCAGCAAUGGCGUUGCAGGUUCCCCAGGAAGAAUCAACAGAUAGCUGAUCAAUGGUGCCAAUUCCUUGAGAUAUAUAGCUAGAACCUGACACCGGUUGCGGAUGUAUUGCUUUAAGUUUUUUGUUUUCGUUUUCAUCACCAACUGGGUGAUGUUAACCAAUGAGUCAGUCCUCUAAGUCUUUGUAAACUUUACACGCUAUUUCAGACCAUAAUAUAAUAAAAUUCAGGUGGGGAUUGUCCUCCCAUUGACUAUAAAUGUUUGAGCUAUGGGAAAUUUUGAAACUGUGCAUGAAGUCUGUGUGAAAAAAAGUGUUACGUCUCAGAAAUUCUAAGCUGAAUUUUAGGCCUUAGAAAUUACAUGUAGACGGAGCACACUUGGUCAGAAAAUUUCUCUGAAUUUCUGAUCGGUUGAAAUAUAGAAAACACUUAUAUUUUGUAAAAAAAUUUAGUGAACUUCUGUUUUGUCUAGGUUUUUAGUUAGACUUUUGAACACUUAAGACACUUGCUAGUAAUUAGUUUUCGAUUCCCCGUUAUAGUAUGCGUAACAUUUGGUAGUAAUUAGUUUUCUGUUCCCCUUUUAUAGUCUGCAUAUGGCACACUUAUUACAGAAAGUAAAUUCAAAACAUGCUAAUCUAUUGAAAUAGACACAUGUACCUCUCGGUUCCUAAUCUAUUGAAAUAUGAUUCUAUUCCACAUGAUUAAAGAGUGAACUCUCAUUUAUGAUGACAAGUACAUAAAUUAACUUUCUUAUACAUAAUAAUCAUAUAUUUUAUUAAAGUAAACAUUGCUCUCUUGUUCCGAAUGUACUAUAUUUCACGACAACUUUUGAAUAGCAGAAUGCACUAUAUUUUAGAACCGAGUAUGGCACACCUCUUAUAGAAAGUAAAUCCAAAACAUGCUAACCACACCUUUAUUAGGCCAUGUUUGGUUCCUCUUGCUAAAUUUUAGCUAGCUAAAAUUAUUUUAGCUACUCUUGAGUCACUAGUGGGACUAAACUAUUUUAACUCCUUUUUAGUUAAUGUGUUUGGAACUUUAGCUACUAAAGUGACUAAAAUUUAGUUGGCUAAAAUUUAGCAAGGAGAACAUAACGGGGCCUUAGCUUCCAAAGCCGGAAUGUUAUUAGGUCAAACCCAGUCAGCGGUCAUGGUCAAGCAUACUCUAGUAGCAUUUGGAAAGCAUGAUCUGUUCGCAUUCAUAAGCUAAAGUGACACUUUCCUUAGCUUGCUUUACUCGUUGGGCGGCAUGACGCGUGCGCCGUGGCCCUCGGACAACGACGUAAGUCAGAAACCGCUACCGUAUCAGUGGCGAAGCUAGAGCACAUUAAAGGGGUGCACUUAGCUUAUGGGUGCAUAGACAUCUUCUAUAGAGGGUGCAUAUAUGAUGAAAUUUUGGAUCUAAUCACUGUUUUUAUAAAUUUUGGGGGGUGCAUUUGCACCCCCUAACUAACAUGUAGCUUCGCCCCUGACCGGUAUAGUUCAUACUACACGGCGGAGAGCUCUGCAACCAUGCAUGCAUGCAUGCAUCUUGGAUAUGAUCUUGUUUUCUGCUUGAGACAAAUUUAAAAGACCGGAGAAAUUGCCAACUUGAUGAGCGACAUUUACCGUGUAAUUUCAUUGCUUUGUUUCGUGCGUCGUCAUAGACUUGUAGGUUCUGGUGCUUUGCUAUUAUAUAAGCUUUUCUUUUUUGAUAUGAAAAAUUUUUCGACACCUAGCGGUAAAUAAGAAAUUUCAGAAAUUUCUGACUAAAUUUAAAUAAAUUUAAAUUGAUUUUUCAAAAAAAAUAGCGUCAAUUUAUAAGAAAAUUUUUUCUAAUCUAUCACUCAUCAUAAAUUUAUAUAAUAUCAACGAAAUAAUAUAUUAUAUCAGCGGACUAACAGUGGGCGUGCUAGUGUCAUGAAAUAUGUGAGUGAAAAAAUUAAAUAACUUUGAAGAAAUUUAAGACUUUGAUAAGAAUAGAAGAUAUGGUGGGUCGUUUUAUUGUGGUUUAGAAUAAUUUAAAAUGAAAACAUGAAUUCAACUGAAAAUUUUCACUGAUAUAAAUUUUUUUUCAGACAGCGAAAAAUGAGAAAUUUUGAAAAUUUCGUCAAAAAAGAAAACCUUAUAUAGUCGUCUCCGAGCACGGAAGGCAUAAAUAAGGUGGCGCUGUGGGUCUAACCUUCCGAGUUCCGAUCCUAGCUCGAUCAUCGUAUAGAGAGCAAUUCUACUAUUAGCAUAGCCAGCAAGCUGAUGUACGAGCCAGCAAUGAUCUCCGCUGUUCAUCUCCUACACCUUUCCCUUUUCCUCCUUGCCAUGCUUCUUCUACAGCCCUACGUUCUUGUAGCCAUGUCAACAACAACCCGGAGCAGCUUAGCCGCCGGCGACAGCCUGACGCCACCCAACUACAUCACCAGCCCCUCCGGCGACUUCGCCUUUGGUUUCCGCGCCCUCCUCGACUCCAACUCCUCCUUCCUCCUAGCGAUAUGGUUCCGAUUCGAUGCCGGGAGGAAGGUGGUGUGGUUCGCCGCAGACGCGGCGGGCUCAGGCUCCGCCGUGGUGGUUGCCGCCGGCCAGUCCGUCCUGAAUCUCACCGCCGCCGGCCAGCUCUCCCUACUAGCAGCAGCUGCUAGCCCCAGCAAUGCGGCCUUGUUGUGGAGCCCGUACACUGACCCUAGCCAGAACUACGGCUCCCUUCUCGCGCUGCGCGACACCGGCAACCUCCAGUUCCUCGCCGCCGACGGCACCACCGUCGUCUGGGAGAGCUUCGGACACCCCACGGACACUCUCCUCCCCGGGCAGGUCAUGCCCCCUGGAACACUCCUACGGUCUAGGGCCUCGGACGACGACGACACGGACUACUCGUCUACCGGCCGCUUCAUCCUCAUCGUGCAGAACGAUGGCAACAUCGUCUGGUACAGGACGGACCUGCCAGGAGGUAGCAGCACCUCCAGCAACGCCUACUGGAGCACCCAGACUUGCUGCGUCGCCAAUGGCAACACGACGCUCUUCUUCGACGCCGAGCUCGUCGGCCACCUCUACUACCAACUCACCGACGGCACCAGCCGGAACCUGACAGCCCCUCAGCGCGUUCCUGCUUCCGCCGCCGGCACCGGCAGUAGCUUCUUCUACCAGCACGCCACGCUCGACCCAGACGGCAUCCUUCGUGUCUACAUCCUCCCCAACAACACCGGCGGCCACGGCGGCGGCGGCAACGCCACCACAUGGUCCGUCGUGAACCCGCCGGUACCAAGCGACGGCUGCCAAGCGGUGACCAACGGCCGGCGUGGCAUGUGUGGACCAAACUCCUACUGUGUCUACGACGCCGACAACCGGCUCGACUGCGAGUGCCUAGCUGGCUACACCUUCUUGCACACGCAGUCUAGGUACCAGGGCUGUGCUCCAGCAUUUCUUCAGGACACCUGCAACAACAAUGAUCACCGGCGGACGAAGAGCCAUGCUUCUGAGUUCCAGCUCGUGGAGCUGCCCAACACGUACUGGGUGGACACGAUAUUCUACGAGCAGCACCAGUCCGUGACGGCGGCGCAGUGCCAGGACCUGUGCUUGCACAACUGUCACUGCGCAGCUGCCUUGUUCAAUGGAAGUAGCAACAGCUGCUUGGAGGCUCCUAUGCUCACAGCUGGGUGGCAGCAGAAUGGCACGAGCAUCAGCACACUGGUGAAGGUCCGGAUCAGAGGACCCCCUGCUGUGAUCCUGCCUUACGCAGUCAUUGCUGGACUGGGCAUGUUAUUUCUGGUCACUGCUUGCAUCCUCCUAGUGCAUUGCUACAUCACUAACAGGAAUGCAAGAAACAGGAAGCAUCUGAGCGCGACGGUCUUCACUCGCAAGGAGCUCCGGCGAGCGACCAACGGGUUCAGCAAGCUUCUUGGCCAGGGAGGAUUUGGCAAGGUCUACCAUGGCAUCGUCAAGUCCCUAGAACCACACGAUGUCGCCGUGAAGGAGCUCAGGAGCGGCGACGAGUACCAGGAGACGGAGUUCGAGAACGAGGUGCAGUCCAUCGGCAGGAUCCACCACAAGAACCUGGUCCGAAUGGUCGGCUACUGCAAGGAAGGCGUGCACCGGAUGCUCGUCUUCGAGUUCAUGCCUGGAGGCUCCCUCGGCGACGUCCUCUUCAAGCCCUCCGGCGAGAGGCGGCCGUCCUGGAGCUGGCGCGCCGAGGCCGCCGUGGCCAUCGCCAGAGGGUUGGAGUACCUGCACUACGGCUGCACAGCUCAGAUCGUCCACUGCGACAUCAAGCCCGACAACAUCCUGCUGGAUGACAGGCGAAUCCCCAAGAUAACGGACUUUGGGAUCGCAAGGCUCCUCGACGGCGACAAGCUGAAGCAGACCAUCACCCAUGUCCGAGGCACGCUCGGGUACCUUGCGCCGGAGUGGUUCAGCAGCGAGAGGAAGGUGGACAGCAAGGUGGACGUGUUCAGCUUCGGCGUUGUUCUUCUGGAGAUGAUCUGCUGCAGGAAGCACCCACCACCACCACCACCACCGGCACCGGCACCGGCAGACGAUGGUGGCCAGGAUGGGCCGCGAUGCAGCGACGACGACGAUGACUCGGAGGAGGACAUAGGCAUGCCCGUGACGCUGAGAGCAUGGGUGUCGGACCUGGUUAGGGAAGGCGAGGUUUGGCGCGCUGUGCAGGGAGACAAGGAGGCGCUGCAGGACCUGGAGAGGGUGGAGAGGUUCGCGCGCAUUGCGAGCUGGUGCGUGCAGGGGGAACCAUCGAUGAGGCCAACGAUGAGGAGCGUAGUGUGGAUGAUGGAGGGCGCCAUGGAAGUGGAUGUUCUAUUACCAGCUGAUGACCCUCCGGCUCCAAGAAGGGUUCAUGACUUCUCUGCAGCGGCGGGUAGUAGUGGCACUCAUGACGAUAACUCCAACUCCAACUCCAGUAGUAUAUAUAUGACUGUGAUUGAGGACUGUUGAAAUAUCUGGUGUGACAAGAUGUUUUGUUAGCCAAGGGUUCAUGACUUAGGUCUUGUUUGGAUGUAGUCGGAUUCGCAUCAAUUCAUAUGUGUUGGGGUGGAUUGGAGUGGAACUUGAACUAAAUUCCACUCCAAUCCACUCCAACACAUGUGGAUUGAGGUGAAUCCGACAACAUCCAAACAAGGCCUUAGUUUGUUACGUUUCCGUUGGAGAUAUAGCCUUUGGGUUGUUGUAAACUUUUGUUGUAAGCUAUAUUAGAUAUGGAUCUUUUAUCUGUGAAUCAACUUGUUGUACAAGAGAUGUAAGCCACACUAGGGGUUGUUCCUAGCAUUAUAUCAACACGAAGCCGUGAGCUUGAGAAGGCAUGUCAAUUUAUUUUUUGUGUACUUUGAUUUGUAAGGACUUAGCCAAUCAACUCGUGCUUAAAAGUCCUAUAAUUUUAUCUUACAAAUGACUGGAAACAUCGUUCUCCUAAGUUGGAGUGGGAUAUUUAACUUUUUACUAUUAUAACGGAGAGCACCUCUCCACAUAGCACUCUUACAGUUGCUCAUACAUAUUUGCCAUCCUUAGUGAAGACUUCAUAAUAUUAAUCCAUUUUUGUAUACAUGGCAGAACACCUAGGCAUGACAACAUGUCUGUCGGAUGCAAACUGACGACUUUGUUACCCCUUUCUUCUUCGUCUGUCUCUUCCUCUCGCUUAAGCUCCAGCCAUGCCCCGCAAUGGUCAAGAUAUAUCUCGGUUGUGUGUGGGCACAAUGCCACGGACCACCCUUGGCCACAUGGCGAGCACCCACGGGCGUAGCUAGCAGCUACCCGGCUUCUACUCCCGCCCCCUCUUGACGGUCGCCUCCUCACCUUGGCCUUGUCGGUGUCCAUCUCCUACUGUCGGCACUCCUCCCUACAGAGUGGGGUGUCGCCCCUACAUCAUUAUCAUCCAAACGCGUGCACUGGAGAACUCAGAAACGAGGACGGUGGCUACUUGCCGACAUUCCUUGACACUAGUCAUGCUCCUGCGCGUAGAGCAUGGCCGUCGUGGACCUGCAAGCCAUGGCCCCCACUGUCUCGUGCCCAACUUCCCCUAUGUCCCAUCAGCUGCCACCAUGGACCCGUUGUCGGCUAUAGCAGGAGCUCAAGCAAGGAAGGGAUAGAGAAAGAAGAAAUAGAUGAGGGGCAAAAUUGUCAUUUCUCGUGGCCAGUCCAUGUUGUCAGGUCGAGUUAGCUUGCCACAUCAGCAAAAAUGGUAAGAAUAUAGCAAAUGUGCUCUCUCUAAUGGUAAAUAUGUAUAAGUAAUUGUAAAAGUGAUGACUGAAUAGGUGUUCUCCGUAAUGAUGGUAAAAAGUUAAAUAUCUCAAUUGGACAAUUGGUUGUCUGAAAGGAAUUUGUUGAACGAUUGCAUCCAGCAUCAUUUACAUCGGGCAGAACAGAGAAUGAAGGCUCUGUAUUUACAUCAUUUUUUUUAUAAAAACCGAUGUAAGAAAGUCUAUAUACACCGGUUUUUUUAUGAUUGUAAACCCUAAACCCUGAUUGGGCACAACAGAGAAUGAAGGCUCAAGCUGAUUCAUUUACAUCGGUUUUUUACGAUCACGGUUUUUUCUUUCCUUGCUUGCUAUAGUACAGCGCUAUCUUUUUCUUUAUUUGGUACCUGAUCCUCCACAUCUCCAAAAGACUUUCUUAAAUUCAUUCUCUAAAUUAUCAUGUGGAGAACAAAUUAAACAAGAAUCACUCCUAUACCUUUUUAUCUCUCAACAAUUUCUUUUAUAUCUUAUACGUAUUCCAGAGUUAAUCUCUGGCUCUUGUAAUAUUUGAAGAUCUAUUUAGAGAAAGCUAUUAGAAGACACUAAAAUAUUUAUUGCUUAAUCCGACUCUUGCAAUAUUUGGAGAUCUAUUUUAAAAAACUAUUAGAGAACAUCUUUUUACUAUAAAAUUACUAUUACUAUAAUAAGAAAGGAUAUAGAAAUACGUGCUCCAUGUGACACUGUUCUACUAAACGAUGCGAAUUCAAACACAACAUGGUACGUCGACUUGGUGAAGUCAAUUUUUUGGCUACUUGAUGCAAACUGGAUCCUGCAGAUCCCACUCACCCCGGGAAGAGAAGACUAUGUUGCAUUUUUUUUGGCUACUUGACGUUCUCGAUGAAAUCAGCUUAUCAUUGCCAAUGGAGAAGUAAAUAUGGGCCAAGAACUCACACGUUGUACACUAGUGGUGCGAGUAGAAGUCAAGCAUGGAGACAAUUAUGGAAAUUAGACCUGCCAGGUAAAAUCAAGAUCUUCAGUUGGAGAGCUCUCCAACGGUUUUAUUCCUGGCAACAAUGAAGGGCAACAAAUGUUGGCAGAAACCUCUGGAAGGUAAACAUUUAUGCCUCCUUUAAUGAAAGAACAGGAUGCGGAAGCGCAUGAGUUUGGAUGACGUUGUUUGGAUGUAAUUGAGAACACACCAAUCCAAGUGUUUGGGUAAAUUGAGGUGAAAUUUAGAUAAAUCCAACAACAUCCAAACUCAAGUUGACGAAGGAUGUGUGGGUGGGAACUGCUGUCCUGCUGAUCGAGACUGGUGGGUGAGGGAGGCAGUGAAACUCAAUGGAGGUGGACGGGGAUUUGGGCCCCAACCACCUGACCCCUCGAACCGUCCGUCAAGCAAUUGCUAGGUAAGGAAAUACCGUGCCGAGUAUCUUAUCUCAUUCAAAUGUACCCAUAGCCUCGCUUCCCGCUGAACACGCAGGUUCAACAAGAUUCACCAAAUCACAGGGUAACAUGGUAAAUAAAACUCGGUGACGAUCAAAUGGCACCUGGAUGACUGCAUUUCAUACUGACAAACUACACCAAUCCGAUGCUAUGCACUGUACAUACAGAUCAUGCAGUCGAUCGUUAAACGUUACAAGGUCAGCAGCUGUAGCCAUUUUGUGAGCACCGGCCAUAAUAACAAUAGUAAAACAAAGAAAAGAAUGAAAACAACUGUACAUUAGGCACAUGGGGGCAGCAGGUCCAGUGCACCACAGAAGACGAAUGGCGUCAAGCCUGCAGGAUCUACACCACCUGGAAGAGAGAAACGGUCACAGACGAAAACAGAGCAGGCAGGAUAUAGCAUCGAGCAUAAUAAUUAGCAAAAAGAACUUGCGGGUGUAACCUUUGGUUGAGGUAAUACUUUCGUUAAUCACCGGAGAGGAUCAACACCAAGUUGCACUACAGUUCCCACAAUAUUCACAACCACAAGAUCCUGAAAAAGCAGACGACAAAUCAACAACAAACCAUGUAGAAAUCAAUACAGCAUGCCAGAGAAUGGACACUGAUGAAUACAAAUACAACCAUUCUGACUAAUGGUAGUGUGUGGCUGGGUGAUCUGACAGCAGAUUACUUGCUCAAUUGGAUCUAUCUAAUACACAUGAUAAGAUCAUUCCUUCUGUUCUUUCCAUAUUUAAUGAUUUAAGACUUGUGUAAUAAGCCUACUAAGAGAGGCAAAUAGUGACCACAUAAUAACCUAACCUGGGGAAAAUACGCCUAUUGCUACCCAACUACAUCUUUUUGGCAGGCAAACUAAGCAUUACAAGUUUGAAGUUUGUGAGCAACGAAUAUAAAGAACAAAGGGGGUACUGGGGGAAAACAAAGAUGCCAAUCUUUCCAUAUUAUAGAAUCAAACGAGGCAUAUAAAUAAUCCAAACCUUUGAACAUUGUUCCUUGGAAAAUGGACUCAAUCAUAAAAGCUGAUGGUCGUUUGCCGAAGAACUUCAGAAGUUCGGUCAAGGCUAUGAGAUGCCACCUAUCACACAAAAAGGACAUGUAUGCAUUUAUAAUCAAGGUGCAAAUUCCAAAUAACAUCAAGUCAGGAAGUGAGCCUAGCUCUAACUGGUUGGGUGGGAGGUGUGGUCAUGCACCCAACCACCCAGGUUCAAGUCCUCUCGGCUUGAAUUUGGGUGCAAAAUUUCUUAAUGAAAAAACACUUAGUUCCUCCUAAGUUGGACCUCGUUUUUUUGCUAAUAUAAAACAUCAAGUCGAGAAAGCAUAGAGGAAAGGGUGUGAACUGAUUACCAAAUACGUCAGGGCUGUGUAUCUUUCCUGACUUAGAUAUAAAGGCUUUCCUCUCUGCAUUUCAUGAUCCUGCAUCCAAAGUUCCAAACAUCCCAAAAGGUAAAGACUAAAGAGCAUAAGCUCACAUUGUCAUGAAAGAAUGCCCAUUUUCCUCAAUGCACAGUUUUCAAUUGUAAGAGUUUCACUAAUUCUUGAGGAUAACGGGUGGUAGUUUAUGACUAGAUACAAAUGAUAUCUGUCACAUCCAUUGAUGGUCAUUCAGCUGAUUUGAAAUCAAUUUCGCUCUCGAGGAAAAAAAUCAAACAUCUAAAGAUUUCACAUAUGGAACAUUUUAUUUCAUUUUCAUCAUAGAAGCAUACAUCUGAUUUUGAGGACAAAUGAACUGCUGCUGUGUGGUGGAGAAGCUCAUAAGUGGAUUCAUCAGCAGGAGGUAAAAUUUCAAGCGGAGAAUGUAACAAACAGCUAUAAGUCCAUAUAAGAAAAACAAAACAUUAGGAAAUUAAGCAAUACCUCCUCUCCAAAAGCAUCAAGGUAUAGAGACGGCCAAAAGGCCAGACGAGCAGAUCGCUGCAACAGGAUUGUUGUUUUCUGCGCAGAAGACCAAUCAAAAUUGAAGCAUAUUCACAUAAGAAAGAACAGAGGACGUUAUACUGGACAAAAUAGUAUCAUGUGUAAUGAGCUAGGGUGGUUCUUUGUUAUUUGGGGUUUCUCAUGUCCCUUUUCUUCUUAAUAUAAAAGAUAUGCAGCUCUCCUGCGUGUUCAAGGAAACAAAAGUAAUGAGCUAGGACGUACCCUCACUAGAAGAAAUAUGCCAAUACCAGCACCACAUUGCAAUGCAUGAUUCUGGCAUUUACCAGACCUACAAAUAAAUAAAAUUAGGAUAGGCAUUUGAUAAAUUAUGGCACAACACAAGGUAAUAGGAACUUUUACAAUCAAAGUUCUAUCACCUGCAGCAUGGUUUCCAACUAGGCGAACAUAGUUUGCCACAAAGCAAACACAAUGCCGGUUCAUCAGGCACUAAGCCACAAUCAGGGCAUUGCAUCUUGACAUAUCUAGAUGGAAAAAUAAUAAGCCAUCAGUUCCAGGAAAAAAGGCAGAGCUCGCAUAAAAUCUUAUCCCAGCUUACAAGAACCAGAACAAACCUUUCUAGGAGAACCUGGUAUACAUCUGGUAGUUGCAUCAGCCUAAAUGGAACUGCAGGGGUAGAAAAGAGAGUGCCUCUAUAUUUACGGGGAUUGUAAUCUUCACAGAAAUGUUGAGACCAUUUUAAGGCCAGCAUGUGUACAGAUUCAUCUUGGAGAAUCAGAUCCAGUGACUGAAUCUGAAACAGGUCUUCCAAUUCUCUUAAUCCGUUCAGUUCCAUUGCCAGUGAAGAACUGCCGUCUUGUGUGCUAUUACUCAAGUAAAGAUGUGAUCCUUCCCAAAUAUUGGAACCGUCGUACAAGGGCGAUGUGGCAGACGAUCUUAGCAGCUCCCAAAGCAAUGCACAUCUCCGAAGAUAUGGAUAUGUUAAUCUGCGGACCAUGUCUUUUGGAUGACAACAGGGAUCGAUAUAUUUGGAUACAAAAUACUCUCUGGCAACAUCAAAUCCUGACAUUGUCUUGCAAACAUCAUUAAGAAGGCAGUCAUUGAAGUUUGAUCGAUCAAAAGUUUCCUCCCCGUAGCAUGUUAUCAGGGCCUACAUCAAAAUCAUGUAGUUGCAAGCUAUAAAUUGUUCUUGAACCAUGAUGGAAAGCAACUAUUCACAUGCCUGAACCAUGAACAGGCUUCAGACCCCCUUAACAACAUCACUAUUAUUCAUGCCUUACAUAUACUUAUUCUAUUUUCUCUAACUUUUGCCUUUUCGUUGAUAGCUCUAGCCUACCCCAAUGUGCUUGGGACUAAAAAGCUUUGCUGAUGUUGAAACAAGCUAAGAAUUAAUAAUAAAACUAACAUACAAACUGCAAACAUAGAGAGGAAGCAAUGCAAAACAGCAUACCUGAAUGGCACAAACAACAUAGAACAGAUGGACAAAAGGGAUGAAGAAUUCAGCAGAUGACAGAAACUGAACAGGCAGACAGAAAAGUGCUGACAUCAAAGAAGAAAAUGGAUCUUGAGCAAGAACUGGAUCAGCACAUUGUUUCCAAAAUUGGAUAUCAGGGAAGAGGCCCCCCUCACUGGCUGGAUCAAUCAUCGAUGGCAAAGAGCCUGUUAAGGAUGAAGACGUGAGAAGUGAUAACUAAAUAAACAUUCCACAAGUGAUUAGGAGACAUGAUCUCAUAGGAUACAGAAUAAUUCCUGUUUCUUCCAGGAUACCCGAUAUGACAUUUUGGCAUGUUCAGACCAUUAAGACCAAAUACUACAAUCAAAUGUAAGCAUUUUAUGAUAAACACAUUAGAACUAAGCAAGAAAAAUGGCUUUAGAUUAGGCCACAUCUACUCUCACAUACAAUAUAAUAGAGCCUUCUUGACAGGUACACAACCUACAAGACCUGGUAUGCACCCUUUUGUUUUAUUUUUCCUUUAAUGAAUGCUUAGGUCUGUAUGAAAGUAUCUUGAAACCUCUUUACCUAAGCAUUUGUUUUACAAACAUAAAUUGAGAAGAUGUCAUGAUGUCACAAAGUGUGGGAUGCAAAUUUAAGGUUAUAAGGCUUUAUUGGUUACUUCAUGCAAAUGUAAGCAAGCCCUAGACCAGAAUUCUUCGCUUUGCAUGUUAAAUCAACUCAAGGAUCUUGGUUAGAUAAAAAUAUAAAACUAACAACCACCGCCAAUAUCAAAAAAGGAAAUACAGCAUUAGGGCUUCCAUAAGGGAAAAAUAGUAUAAUUAUUAUACAUAAGAUAAGAACUGAAAUAACUAAAAAGGUUCAGUUAUAUUGCCUGCUCUGCUGUAUACAAAUCAGCACAAUAAAGCAAACAAGGCAAAUGGUAACACAAGCAAAAAGAAACCUGUUAUGUUCUAAGACAGAAACUGUUACAAUUAACCAGCACAGCACAAACAAUUAUGCCCAGUAUGCCAAUCAGCAAAAAAAGGGAAAGCAACAAGACAAUAGUAACACUGCAAACAAGCAAUUUAAUCUGUUCUACAACAGAAAUAGUAACAAUUAAGAACCAAUGUAUCAUUAUAAUCAGCUCAACAGAAAUAAUAACAAUUGAGAACCAACAUAUUACUCAUAAGGUCACUUUAUUAUUUAUAAAAAUCCCUGGAGUCCACUUGUUUUAUAAAUAAAUCAUAAAUUUUAUCAAAGCCCACUGAAAGAAAUAGAAAGCUCAUGAUAUUCAUUUAGAAGUGGAAAUAAGAAGACACUCCAAAAUGAAGGAAAAUACUAUCUAGAUGCAGGGAAAUACAUUAAACAAGGUAAAGGAAAAGGAUGAGCUAUACCUUUUCGCUUAGUGGCAUUCAGAAUGUCUUUAUAACCCGAAAUACAAGAGCAAAUCGAACCUGCUAAUAGUUGGAUACCUUCAAACCUCAGAAGAACCUCAAGACAAUUCAAAUUCCGUGCAGCGUGAGCAGCAUGGAACAAGAGGGACAAUAUGAACCCACUUGAUGAAUUAAGUUCACCACGCAAAGACUCCAAGCAGGACUUUGAUUCAGCAGAGUGGCUUGACAUCCUACCACGAGAAGCGAUUUCUGUAGAUACCAGAGAGUAUCUUAGUGUAUCCCAGAGAAAUAAGGAUGGGUUCAGCCUCUUAGAUGGUGAAAAACUGCUGUGACUGCGAGGAUAGUAAAGCAUAGCCAAUCUUCGAAUACAAGGAUCAAGGGCUGGAUUUGUAGUUUCAUUAAGCUUCCCAGAUAUAGCUUUUAAAAACUUGCUUUCUCCAACGAUUUUUCCAGCACUUUCAAGAAGAGAUAGUGCGCGAGGGAACUGUAAGCAAUUUCUAUUCACAUCUGAUGUAGUUGUAACAACUUGAGGUGUCAAGGUUUGAACAAAUGGUCUCACCAUCCUUGAUGUUUUACCAGAGAAAUCAGGUGAUGCUGGAAGAAUGGAAUUUGCAAAUCUGCGACAUACUGGACAAAGCAAUUCUCCCUGCAAAAAGAAUUAUCUAAGCAAAGGAUCAACAAAAACCAAAAAAAGUCAACUUUAUAAACACAAAUAUAUACACAUACCAGAUCAGGAUCAACUAUAUGACCACCUUCAAAACCAAGUCUCCGGACAUAUCUGUAAAUAAAUAAAUGUGCAAGUUACUGCAAACAGAUAUAGACUCAAAUCAACAGAAGUUUUCCAGCCAGUAAUAUGUAUAAUCAUAAGUUAUGUAGGCCUCCUAAAUAUUAAGUUUCUGCUUUCCAGAUCGCAAACACUAAAUAGGUAUCCUAUUAGAGUGCCAUAAAUAAAAAGUCCACCAUAUACCAUAUUUACAAUUUUGCCAUCAAACAAGUCAAUUUCAUUCCAUGCCAUAAGGACUUCAAUUUUUUAUUUUUUAAAAAACAUGGCAUCUGGCAACGGCAUGGAGAGAAAAAAAAUUAGAACAAAGAUGCUGGAGUGAAACCUGACUAAAUUAAUUGUAAAUCGUGAAACUAUCCGAUGGCAAACAAUCAACUAUACCACACAAAUUAAAUGAAUCAUCUAAAUGUUAUAAAUUCACCAUUUUGUGAAUUUGUACUCCUAUAACUGAAAGAUUUCCAUUGAAAUGUAACACCCAACCAAAAGGCACAGUGUAACAUACCUAUUUCCUAACUAGUAGAACUAGUUACAGUUACAAAAAGGGUAUGUUAUGGGGGUGGUCCAGCAUACCUUUGUUUCAAGGAGAACAAAUAUCGAUCAUGACAUUCCUGAUGCACGGCGUGUCCACAAGAAGAUAUAUGGAUGCCAUCACAAUCAACAGGACCAAACCUGUUUCUUGUAGUUACAGAGGCAGAAGAUUUUGAGGCUACAUCGUACAGAGAAGAAUGGCGGUGUUUUGCUGAAAGGCAACUAACAUAUGUUCCCAGCACUGAACGCUUGGGGCUUCUAGUUCUCUUGGUAUCAACUGUGAUGUUUGAAGUAUUUGAUGGCAACAUUUUGUCACUAUCCUGAAUAUGUGCAUUGCUGGAUCCAAAUAAAUCAUUUAAAAUAGAACUGUAAAUGUCAGCCUCAAUUGCCUCAAGCGAGACAUUUUCAUCUGCAUUGCUGUUGCUAUGCCCAGUUGGGAAAGAUGAUAUAUAUCUAAUCAGUGGAUGUUGCUCAUUAGAAAAAUCAAGAAAGGCAUCAACUUCCAUGUUGUCUAUAUCAAAUGAUGGCUCUACUGUUGUAUCAUUGACAAGUUCCUCAGAAGUUGAAGAACCAGAGGCUGAGGAAUCGGUUGAGUCUUCCCUUUUGACUGAUACAAUUUUGUUGACUUGAGCUGGAUUUUCCCAGGAUGGAUUACCCAUCUCAACAAAGGUUGCAAGCCGAGAUUUCUGAAUUAUAGAACACACAUGAAAGAUUAUUCUAUGGUACUUUGACAUAUAUCAGCAUAACAAAAAGAAAAAUAAGUAGAAUUAACAUGUGUUUUAAAUAUAGGUCAGGAAACAUCUUAUCAUACACCAAAAAUACUGCAGAAAGAACAAUCGAUACUUUAAGAACCUAUGAGGUAUCACAAGAUAAAGCAAGAUGUUGUCAAGUCAACAGUGAUUACCUGAAGAAGGAUUAAGUAGCAGAGAGGGCUUUUGGAAUCUGACUCCCGGCACAGAGAGCAAACUGGUAGCGACUCCUCAGACACAACUCCAGUUGAACUGGACACAUCUGCCUCCAACAUAGUAACAUCAUGCCCCUCGUUUUCUGAUGACUUCAUACUUUCAGCAAACUUGGACUGCUCUGCCCUCAUUUUUGCCUAAAUAAAUAUGGUACAACAGAACAAAAUUGUGCUUAGUGUAACUUAGGAGAGGCCAAAAGUCAACAAGUUUUUUUUAGGAAAGUCAGCAAGUAGCUUCAAGAACCUAAGAAUGAGACAAGUGCAGAGUGUAGGCAUUAUAUUGUUUAAAAACCAAAUAAAAAUCUAACUAGGGAAACCACAGAACUAGCACCUUGUAAAUUAAAAUAAAGUGAUAAAGUUCUGUAUUUUUCGUAAGCCCAUCUCCAAAGAUCUCACAAUUAACUAAGGGUGGAAUAUGAGACAAGUCAAAAGGAUAAUUAAAGUAUUAAACUAUGUGAAUUUUGCAAAUAAAGAUCUUACCAUAAUUGCAGCUUGGCGUUGGCGUGCUUUUGCUUUCUUUUCCAUGGAAUCUGAAGUUCCUAGGCUUUCUUUGGUACUGGUAUGAUCAGGUGUAGAAGGCACUAUUUGUGGUGCCAUUUGUCUCAAUGUAACCAUGCACUCCUUACUUAACUUGGCAAACUUCUUUAAUAAAAUUUCAAUGAGAGAUGGGAUAUUACAGUACUUGGAUCCAGAAAAGGUGGCAUCAUUCUCUUCUUUGUAUUUGUGCAUUAACGAGACAAGCAGAGUUAACAUGCUUUCUUUCUUUACUUUGUCAGACACUGGGGAAACUAGUUCAGUGGAGUAAGUCAAGAUGGGGAAAGCCUCUUCUGCAGAUGACAGAACAACCCAUGAUUCAUCAUCAUGUUGCACCACGUUCAUGCCAUACUGACCAGCAUGUAUCUGUCUUUCAGAUUCACAUAUAUCAAGUGCCAACCAAAGCAGAUGCAAACCCGUCACAAGAACAUUAUCAGGGGCACGUGAUGCCGAUGAUGCAUCACUGUAAACAGCAUAAAAAAGAACUGCACGAACAAUCUGAAGGACAGCCUUCGAGGUUGCAAUGUUAGAAAUACUUCUGAGGGGGUUAAAAACAUGAGUCCAGCGAGGUAGCUGAGCAUUAAGGGCAGAAAUUUUGCAGAAACGGUAAUAUCUCUCCUCAGCAAUUUGCAAUUCCCUAGAAUUCCAGCGUGGGUGAUACAAGUCCAAUUCCUUCCAGCAUGAUUUGCGAAGUACAUACUUACCCUGUGAUAAUGUUUUAUGUUAAUCCUCCAUUUUAGGAUUAUUUUCAGAAACGUGUUUUAGAAAUUGAAGGACAGUACCUGCUUCAUGCCAGAUGGAUUAGAAUAAGCUGCCAGCGAAUCCAGAACAUUUUGAAGUUGGUCACUUGAUGAAAGAUCGCGAGGAAGAGACUUAACAAUUUGGCUAUGAGUGGCGUCUCCAAUAGCUAACUUGUAAAUCAGUUCUCUCCUCAAGUUGUCUGCUGUGGAAAGCCCACAAAAACGACGUUCUUUAACCAAUUGUAUAAGAAAAGUCAGCAUUUCUUGCAUUAGAACUGACUCAAACCUGAAAACAAGAUAUCAUCAGAACCUAAAUGUGGCAAACAUAAAUCUUCAGUUUUAUGAAAAUGUAAGUAAAUGAUUAGUAUAUGGAUAAGACAAAAAAGGAAGCAAGGCUUACACGUUGUUUUGAUGUCAUGGAUUACAUUAACCAAACUGAAUAACAAAGACCUCGUCAAUACCUUAGAUAAUUUUGAAUUUGAAUACAACUAAAUGCUAUCUCCGUUCUUUCAUGAAUAACGAUUUUUUUUAGGGGCCACUUGGUAUUCCAGCAAGCUAGCCUCGCCUAGUGUGGCUGGGCAAGCCAAACCUCGCCAGCCCAAGGUAAGCUUGCCAACAUGGAACCUGAGGUAAGCUUGCUGAGAAUCCAAACGCCUUGCUUCUAACAAGUUCUAGCUCAGCAAGAUAACACAGUGCCUGGCAAAGAUGUGUUUUUGACUAAUAGUUUCCCUAACAUAAUGCCAAUUGAUACUAAUAAAGUAAUACUUUUUGUGAAGACAAUAUUCAUGUAGCAUAGCAUACCAUGAUGAUCUUAAACAACUAACUAAUUUUAGAAAGUUUGAUGGCACAGAUUUUAGGACUUCAUACAAAAAGGAAGGGAGUGGUUUCUUCAAAAACAAAAAGGAAGGGAGUGACUGCCAUCAAUGGACAUAUAAUUUUGGAUUUCACAGAAACAAGUGCGGCUCGUUCAUAACAGAUCGAGUACAUGGUAUCCUACUUUCCUUCUAACCAUGUUUUGGAGACACUAAGACUUUCUCGUGUACUCCUUCCGUUCAAAAGUCCUAAUAGUUUUAGCCUCACGCACAUAGACCAAGGAGGUUUGGAGAAUCGCUAAAAUUCAUUUAAUCGCUGCUGUUUACUUAACUAACCAGAGGCUGUUCAGUUUUCCGAAAUAACCACGUGCUAACACACACGAAAGUCUCCAGCUCAGCUCCUGAACCGCGCAUGCCUCUCGCAGACUCCAAAUUGCACCGGCCACACGACAUCAAAACCGGCCAGCACGUACAGCUCCAAUUUCAUCUCCCGCACGCAUAUAGAUCGAUAAAAAAUUGAUCAGUUUUGCAACGGCUCAAAAAUCUACCGCGAUCAAUGAGAGCAUAGAGAGUUUCAUCCCCAUGAAACUCUUCUGCACUGUUUCCAAAAUCAGAUGCGUUGGAAACUGGAACAUGAAACUUCCCAUUGAGACUGGCCUAAUUGUGUCCUUUUUCAUGUUACAGAAAAUCUACUGGCAGAAGGAACACUGUCUAGCGCCCAAAGACAGAACAAGCAAUACAUAAUUACAUUGCCACAAGAGAUGUGAAGAUGCAAGGCAGAUGCAAUGAGUUGUGCUAACUUUUGUCACCAUCAUACUUUACUUAGUACUCCCUCCAUCCUGUAAAAUAGUGCAUUCUAAAAAAAUUAAGACAACUUAAGGGAACACUCAAAUGACGCAUGUAUCCAUGGAUUAUUUCAAUUAAGGAGUUUCUCCUCAAAUUAUGGUUUCCCUUUUUACAAAUUUUGCCAAAUCUAUACCUAGCCAUUAUAUAGAAUAUAUUAUAUUUCAGUACAAAUUUUAGAAGUUACAAUGCACUAUAUUUCAGGACAGAGGAAGUCGGCAGUGAUGGAAACAGAAGUGACCACAACAAACCAUAAAUAUUAUACAUGGAAGGUAAUGCCAUAAUUGAAGAAAAAAUACAAAGCACAAACAGAAACAGGCAAGCAGCUUUGGGCUUACUCGUUUUGCUCUGCGAGUCCCAAAUCGGUAUAACUGGACAAACCAAAUCGCUCUUGAAUUGUCCGCACAAAGGACUCUGGAGAAGAUAGGGCAGCACAGCAUUGAAGCAGAAACAGAUCUGACUCCAAACCUUGUUCAAUCCUGAAAAUGGGGACCAGAUAACUUCAGCACUAUUAUUUGAACAUAGAAUUGAAAUGAAGUCUAAUAUUUGAACAUUGAAUUGACAUCAGGUCUGAUAUUUGAACAUUGAAUUGACAUGAGAUCAUUAUGAAAUUACCAUUGCACAGAGCGGUACCACUCGGCACUCAGGAUAGCUGCAUCACCGUUCUUGCGCCACAUUCCAGCACGCACUUGUGCGCAAAAUACUCUCACUCUCAGUGGAUGCUCCAUAACAAUUGAAGCAAACCCAUAGGGCUCACAACCUCUAAGUAUUUGAGAAAAGAACUCAUUGGAUUGCACAUCUGAAUGUCCAUCCUCUCCAAAACAUUUCUUCAUUGCCUUCCGCAAUAGUAAUGAAAGCAUACGGUGCAAAGGGAUAUGGAAAGAUGUUUCUUGUGAACUGACAUCGAAGACAACAUGAGGCCAUUCUCUUGUAUUGAGUAUUCCUAGUUCCUCGAUUCUUGAAUCUGGAUGAGCAUACAAAAUGCUACCAUCAGUCAGAGUAUAAGUGACGGCAUCCUCAGGGCGCAACUGUACAUCUGUAGUGUUGCUUCCGUCAUGCAUCUUCCCUUUGCCUGUACUUUUACUAACCGGAGGCAUCCCUUCUUGGUCAAUCUGCAUCCGGUUGCCUUGACCUUGAACAGGAGAACUAGAUGCCUCAUAAUAAUCUGCAGUACAAUCUGUUUGUGAUCCUUCAUUUAUCUUGAUGCCUAUCUUUGUAUUUGAACUGCUUCCCUUAAGAGAACUCAACGGGUCUUCAAGCGAUGCCAUAAAAUUGUGAGAAUCACUGCUGCUAGCAUCAAGGGAUGACAUUUUGCUCCUCAGAGCUAUAUCAUUUUCCAGCCAGAGCCAACUUUCAAUAGCUUUCAGGCAUUGAAGAAUUAACCAGGCAGCAGGUGAUGGCAAUCCAGAGCACAAAGAGCUGUCUCUGCUGCUUAAAUUGGAUACAAAACUCUCCUGGGAGACCCUCCCAACUUUUGCAUGCCGCUGAUUUUCAGCACUUUCCACCCCUUUUAUUGCAGUGGAGCAAACUGUCACAUCAGUUGAUUCAUGUUGAUCAGGAGGAGAAAAUGAUCCCCUCAUCAUAAGAUUCUGGACAAUUCCAAGAUAGUGCCCCAGCACAAACGGCGCAGAUAGAUGCUCGUUCUCAUCUUCAGCAUGAAUACUUGUCACUCUCUUCUGAGGAUCCAUUCCUUGCACAAGUGAUAAGAGCUUAAUCCAUGACCUAGUUAGAUCAGGCCUCUCAUAAGCAACAUGCUUAGAAACCUCUUCAUGACUCAACACAUAGCGUGUAUCAUCCAGUAAUCGGAUAGAAGCAUCAAAUAAAUUCCCCCAUUUGUUUGUCUGCAAAUAACAAAGUUAAAAAGGGUAUCCCAAGACCAUAAGAAAGUAAUUUUGCACUCUACAAGUCACAUUGCGAUAAGUUGACAUAUAAAAUGACAGAAGUGUAAUCAGUCUGUCUUAUUAUGAAUAUUUUUCCAAUCCAAUGCCAAAUCUCAAAACAGAAACCAACAAGGGUCUGGUCCUCAAAUGUCUAUGAUUCAUCCAUUUAUUAUGCUAAAAGUAAGCAGGACUGAUGCAUACCUAAAAUAAUCUUUAGUCAGCCUAAAAUUUACUAACAACUCAGAGAAUAUGCCAACAAACCAGAAGCUGGUCCACAUGAGCAUUAAAUUCUUUGAGACAUAAAAAGCAGAAACAAAAGCAUACCUGCAAACGACCAUCCUCACCGAUGCAAGAGAGAAACAGAUCUGUCAAGCAUCCAAGGAGGACACCCAACAAAUCAACCUCGCGCACAAGCCUUGGGGUCAAUGUAGGCACAGUGAAUAUUUGCACAGAAAAAGUUGUCAUCAGUGGAUAGUCUUCCAGUAGUGAAUCAUUACAGCCUUUAAUAACUUCCUCAAAUGUGAUAGGGUAGUAGCGUAUGAAAACCUUGGCAAACUCAUACUUAAAAGCAGGGUCACUGAUAAGCUUCAAUAGAAACUCAUGCAAUUUUCUGGCAACCUUCUUGUCAAGAAACCUGUCUGACCUUAUUAAUGCAUCUAACAUAUCCGGGAACUCACGGAUCCUUAGGGACAGAAAACUAAGAAGGUUUUCACUACGGGUGCAGAACUCAAGCAGCAUGCUAGAGAUAGAAGUUGUCAACUCUUCAGCAAUCCUCUUGCACGAGCUACUAUCACCACCCUUUGCAGGGGGUGGUUGCAGCAGGCAUAGCGCCUCCUUCCAGAACUGCAAGAGGGCGUCCAAAAUAGGUCCUACAGAACGUGCAAGCUCCUCUGGGAGGGGCUUGAUCUGCUCAGCCCCCUUGUGCCUUGAGCAGAAGCCCUCACGCUUCCAAGCAGUUGCAUCUCCACAGUCACAACAUCCACCCACUGUGUACAUGAUAGAGUAAUCAUGAUCCUUGUGAUUGCCAUUCUGGAAGCACGGGACACAAAUUGCACAUGUGGGGUCACUCUCGCAAGUCCGACAGCGAUAAGCAACAUCGUUGUGCCCCCAGACAGACCCACAGACAGCACGCUCCCCUGCAUUGGAACGCUCCAGGUCAUCAAGCAUCGCUCCUGGUUCAUUUUUGAACAUCAACCAUUGCAGCCAUGACAAACUCUCACUGUACACAUCGCCAUUGCUGCUGCUGUUUGCGUCCUUUUUUGAGGCCUUCCGGGCCUCUGAAAAAUCAGUACCUGCUGACAAGAUAUGCUUCACAAUAUCAGGUAUCUGCUCCUUGUGCUCCUCCAUGUACCGGACUAGGCCUUCUUGGUGCCCUUGCAGCUGUUCUUCAGGUACUCCAUAGAGAAUGAGCUUCUGCAGGGAGAGGGCAAUGUUGUGCAUCAGCAAAUUUCUAAAAAGCCUUGAUGAAUCGUUUAUAAAUUAAUUAAUUAAUUAUGAAGCAAAGCUCGCAUCAUUGUAACCAUAUAGCUGAUUCUGUUCAACACAGAAUCGUUCUGAAGAAUCUCCCAUCCCUAUCUUAUAAAUCAAAAGAAAAAACGGCACAUUCUUAUAUAAAGUAGUAAUAGGAAGGAAUAUUAUAACACAAAGUGCCAUCUGUAAGUCCAGUAACAUUACUGUAAAAAAACUAAUAUUUUUUUCCCAAUUCCGCGCCACCUAGUAUCAUGAAAAAACAGCACCUACCCUCGAACUCCCUCCGCCGCCAGUUUCUAUCACAGUAAAUACACCAAUCGUCGCGCCAGCAAAGCGAAUGGCAACAGGCUAGCCAGCCAACUGAACCGCAAAAAGGUAAAAAAAAAACACAAUCCCAAAUCACCCGCCGCCACGGGACCUAACACCAAAGCAGCACACGGCAGGCAACCACCGCUGCGCUACGCCAGACCGGCACGGGGUCGCAGGGAAGGGAGGAUCACGGGUAAGGAGAACGCGGCGAACCUGCUCGAUACGCUGCUGCGGCGACAACUCCGGCGGCGGCGCGGCGGCCGCCCCCUCGCCGGCGUCGAUCCCGGCCAUGGCGCGCAGCCAGUGGGCGCAGCUCCAGUGUCCCGAUCGCCCGCCCCCGCGCCCCAGCCUCGCCGAAUCAGCCGACCAACAGAGCCGCGGCGAAAUCCGCCCCCGCCCGCCCGCCAAAACCACCACAGGAUAUCACACGGCGCGGCGCGGCGCAGAUCCCGCGGCGCGAAACCCCACGCAGAGGCCUCGAGCAGUUGGUUCGGCAAUCCGCACCUCCUCUCCUCUUCCGGCUCUCUCUCUCUCUCUCUCUCGAGGGUGGAGCAGCAGACCAGAGGAGGAAGAAAUCCUCAACCCUAACCAGAACGGGGUUAUUUAUAACUUCGUCGACGAAGAGGCUCGAGACGAUUCGUGCAGGCGUUCGGGUGUUGUUUUUUUUUUUCCUGUCCCUUUUUUUUUCUUUUUUUGGCGGUGUUGCCCUCGGACUCUUUUUUUGCGUGAUGGGGUGAAGCAGGAUAAUGGCGGAUGGCGUCUCCGUGGCGGAAUGGUGUUAUCGUCGAGGGUUCCAGGCGAGGGCGAGGAGGUUAGUUUCGGUCGCUGAGCAGUGGGUCCAGCAGGUGGUGUGCGCCAUAACCCGUUAGCUGGGGCUGCUCUGACCGUGUGAGCUUCGUUUGGUGCGUGGUCACACUGCAGGCGGGCCCACUGCCAGGUUCCAGCCGCUGCGCGUCUGCGAGUGGGAGGUGCUCCUGUAAUUUUCGCCAUUUUAAAUACUUUUUUUUUCCAAAAAGGAAAUAAUAAUUUUACGCAAAAAGAUAAUUUUAACCAGAAAUAAAAUUGUCCGUGUUACAGAGUUUGAGGAAAGGAAGACGCCCACAUAAAAAGUUUAAAGUUCUGUAGUAGAGCUGUGGAGGUGGGCACAAUCCGUACUUUUAACUAAAUUUUUGUUUGUUCGAAUUUCUCAAACUGAAAGUCAGGAACAAUUGUGAGGAGCUCUUGUAACUUUUGAAAAAGAAAAUUGUUCUUGCAAAAGAGGUACAAAUCUUUAAAAGGGUAAACUGUGCGUAACUGAAUUUUGUCAUAAACCAGCUCUACUGAUUUUGUAUCGAGCGUAAUAGGCAAGCUUGAAAAGAUCUGAAAAAUAAUUACUUUAAUCAAAAAAAAAAUUUUUGCUGACGGAUGUUGUUUCAGUUAAAACCAAAAGUCAUGGUUAAUUGGGUGGAAUUUUCCUCAAAACUGCAGGUGUCCUCGCAACGAAAUUUUGAAUCAAAAAAAACAUAAACGGUACUAGAGGAUUUGGCCGAACAAGUGUUGCCCGUGUCAUAUGAAACAUAUCGAUAGGAAAACUUGAAAAGAUCCGGAACAUUAUUUUUACUUUAACCAGAUUCUUUGUUUGUUUGAUACUAACCAAUGUUAUUUUGGUUAACGAAACCAAAAGUUACAAGCAACUAGGACGAGCUCUUGUAACUUUAUUAGAAAAAAUAACGUGUGUCCUCAAGAAAAAAUGUGUUUAACAUGAUCUUUAUAAACAAUAACCUACGAACAUAACCACUAGUUUUGUCGAGAUUUGAUCAAACAUAUCCAUAGGCAAGCUUGAAAAGGUUGGGAAUUUUCACCAAAAAAAAUUUCUUUGUUCAAUAAUAACCAAUGUUAUUUCGGUUUCUAAAUCCAAAAAAACACAAUGAGCAGUUGGGAGGCAAUCAUGUAGCUUUCCCUAAAAGUGCAUGUGUGCUCAAAAAAAAUGCAUGACGCAGAAUCUUGAAAACGAUAAACUAUGGAAAGUCUACAUAACUGAAUUUUGGUCGAACCCAAUUUACUGACAUUGUACGAAAAGCACAUCAUUAGGCAAGCAUGAAAAGAUCCGAAACAGGAUUACUUGAACCAUUUUUUUUUGUAUGUGUCAGAACCGAGAUGUUAUUAGCAAUUGGGAGAUGUUCUUAUAACUGUCACUAAAAGAGCACAACAUCAGCACAAAAAAUAUGUCUAACAUAAGGAAAAAAGAUCCUCUAACUUUGACAGUUCCCAAAAAAAUUACAAAAUAAACAAUGUAGCACUUUCAUUUGUAUUUGACAAAUAUUAUUCAAUCAUAGACUAACUAGGUUCAAAAGAUUCAUCUCAUAAAUUAUAGAUAAAAUAUGUAAUUAGUUAUUUAUUUUAUCUAUAUUUAAUGCUCUAUGCAUAUGGCGUAAGAUUCGAUGUGACCAUAAAAUCUAAAAAAAUUGUAAAAUUUUUUGGAACUAAACAAGACCUUGGAGUCACCGACAAAGGUCAAAGUUAGAGGAUUCUCGUCCUAGUAUUUUUUAAAAAAAAAAUCAAGGUAGUCCCAUGCAGGCUUCAUGGCUCAGUUUUUAAUAUAUUCAUGUUUAUAUUUGGAAACAGUGCAUAACUACUCCCAUGAAACUCAUAUCACCUCUUUUUUAUUAAUUUAGUGUCACAUAGUAUAUUUAAUAUAUAUGAAACUUUAAUAAAACUGGCCUAAAAAUAUAACGAAAAUACAUCAUUCAAGAGUAUAUCAAGAAGAUUAGAAGAGAGGAAGAAAGCUAGAAACUGACUACACAGUUUCUACCGCUCAAACUACCUGCAAAAUACAUUUCACUUGCCUUACUCCUUAACGAGAGUUUCGUGACUUAGUUUCCAACACAUCUAUUUUUUGGAAACAGUGCAUAAGAGUUUCAUGUGGAUGAAACUCUCUUUACUUCCAAAACUAUUAUCAUCUAUCUUUUUAUUAAUACAACGCUACAUCAGUAUAUUUAACGUGCAUAAAACUCUAAUGAAACUCCAUUGAGACUGGCCUUAUGUCAUCCUCAGUAGAAGUUUCAUGACCUAGUUUUCAAUGCAUCUAUAUUUUGCAAAUUGUGUAGAAGAGUUUCAUCCUUAUGACAGUCUUAAUGGAGUUUCAUUAGAAUUUUAUACAUAUUAAAUAUACUAAUGUGACAUCAUACUAAUAAAGAGAGAGAUAAUAAGAGUUUUAUGUGAGUAGAGAGAGUUUCAUCCCUAUCAAAUUUUUCUGUGUUGUUUCUAAAAUAUGAAUGUGUUAAAAACUGAACCAUAAAACCUCUAUUAAAGAUAGACUCAUAAAACUUUCUCUAUUUUUAUAAAAAUUUUAUCAUCUCUCUUUGUUAAUACGGUGUAACAUUUGUAGAGAGAUGCUGCCGUCACCUAGCCAAGGACGCGAGGAGAACCUUCGCUCGCCGUGGCCAACAUGUGUUUUGACUUUUGAGCUGCGACGGACUAGGCUCUUGUUUAGUUCCGAAAAGUGAAAAGAUUUCGGUACCGUAGCAUUUUUGUUUGUUUGUGACAAAUAUUAUCCAAUCAUGGACUAACUAGGAUCAAAAGAUUCGUCUCGUGAUUUACAGCUAAACUGUAUAAUUAGUUUUUGUUUUCUCUAUAUUUAAUGUUUUAUGCAUGUGACACAAGAUUCGAUAUGACGAGAAAUCUUGAAAAAAUUUUGAUUUUCAGGGUGAACUGAACAAGGCCUAGAUGAUUGCUGAUGGAAUGGCCGGCGGUGGGUGACUCGUGGAUGCCGGCGGACAUCAGAAAGGGAAACACGACCAGUGGGCCGUGUCUCUGAAGUCUCAACCACAUCGACGUAUCGCCUCCUCCGUCAGUAGCCGGCUAGCAGCUACUACUCUACGAUGAUGACUCGACGAGGAAGCAGAAAUUUCGUCAGAAUAGGAUGAUAUAGGCCUUGUUCAGUUCACCCUAAAAACCAAAAACUUUUCAAGAUUUCCUGUCACAUCGAAUCUUGUGGCACAUGUAUAGAGUAUUAAAUAUAGACGAAAGCAAAAACUAUUUGUACAGUUUGUCUGUAAAUCGCGAGAUGAAUCUUUUGAUCCUAGUUAGUUCAUGAGUGGACAGUAAUUGUCAAAUAAAAACGAAAGUGCUACAGUGACCUGAAUCCAAAAAUUUUGAGAACUAAACAAGGCCGUACUAGCAUGGUACCAUUGUCUUUUCUUGUUUAAGAAAAAGGAGUAAUUUCCUUCUGGAAGAAAACGUGUGGAUAGUGGCUGGUCAUUGGUCAAGGAUCACAUGUUUUACCAAGAACGGAUAACGGUAACGGAUAGGGGCGGCGGAUCUAGUUUAGAGGUUACACAACACGGCGACCAACUACAACCACGAGAGUAUUAGGACGAGCAUCCUAGGUUAAUAUCCUUUUUUUGCCCGAUAAUAAAAUUGUAAUAUUUAAAUCAUAUUAGAUUCAAUUUGCAAACUAUAUAUAAUAAAAAUCAUAUUAUAUUUUUAAUGUGUUGUAUUGAUAAGCCUAUAAUACUGGUUUUAGUUAACUUAUUUGAUUUUUUUAACAUUUACUAAGUGCAAUUCCUGCUAUUAUUUUCAAUGUAAUUUAAUUUUAAAUAGUAUUUUUAUACAGCUGAUUUACUUAAAUAAUUAUAUUUAUGUUAAUUGUUGUAUUAUGUAGAAUCAUAGGAACCUUUGUCAUCGCAUUUAAAGGAAGAUUUUGCUCAAGAACACUGCUUAAACGUGUAAUAUGCUGUUGGACACCGCCAACUCGAAAAUUAGACCAGUACUACCAUGAAAUUGGAGUUAUUUGUCUCGUAACACAUGGCACCGUUUUUUAUUUUUAUUUCUCGCGGAGAGAGAAGUUGGAGGAAACAACUUUCUCAUAUUUUAUUCAAAUUGCCGUCACAUAAACCAGAACAACAUACCGUACAGAUUUGCAAUUGUGUAAAAUAUUGCAACAGUGACUACUGAUCAAAGCUUUUCAUAUUGAUCUAAUGCUUCACUAAACGCUAAUUAACACGUUUUGUAAAAAGGAAAUGGAGUAGGUUUUCAUAGAAAGGAACGUACCAUUCACGUGAUAACUUGCAUCAAUGACACAUGGGUUAGUCAGUCGGUCUUGCCAACUUUGACAAAAUAAACAAUUACUAACUCAUUUUCUACGGACCAAGGAGAGACUGAACUAAAGAAAACCAUGACAAGAGGCGCAUCAUCUCAUCGGCUGUCUUUUAAUUUUCGUGGUUAUGGUAGGACGACGAUGAUGCUUGCACACGUCCCAAGAUCCCAUCAUCGGUUGUUAAGACCAAUUAUCACCGGUUUCUAGAAAAAAACAAUGAUAAACUUAUUACAAGAAACCUAGCGAGUGCGGAUGUAGCCAUCGUAUCAUCUAUCAUCAAACGCUACCUGUAAGAGCCAAUGGAAUGUGAGUUGGUGGCUAGUGACAAUUACUACAGACUUUUCUAGAAGCUUAGGUUUCGAGUGACCUGUCUUUAAUUUCCUAUCCUCCCGUUGAUCUCCGUGUCAGUAGCUUUAACCUCCAUUAGUUGGUAUAUAUACUUCCUCCGUCCACGAAAGAAUCAAUUCUUAGGAUCCGUGCCAGUCAAACUUUUUAAAGUUUGACUAACUUUAUAGAAAAGAGUAACAACAUCUAUAAUAUAAAAUGCACAUUAUAUGAAAAUAUAUUCUAUGAUGAAUCUAAUAAUACUAAUUUGAUACUAUAAAUCUUAGCAUUUUUUUCUAGAAAUUUGGUCAAAGUUUAAAAAGUUUGACUUAAGACAACUCUAGAAAUUGACUCUUUCGUGGACGGAGGGAGUACACACUCUUCAAGUUUACCGAAACAACACACGACUCAAAAAUCUAAGUUAUUCUACCUUUUUUUAUUCCAAGUACGCAGAUCAAGUAACUCAAGCGUGCACACAUCACAAACCCAAAAAAAAGGUGUGAGGGGAAAACUGAAAGGAAGCAUCAUAUGGUCAAAUGGACCAGGAAUUGUACAGGUAAAAAUAAAACGGGACAUAAUCUUAUAGGUAAUCUUCAAGAAUGAUAGGAUGUAGAUUGUUGUUGUCACCUACCUAAGAACCAAGACUGAGUUUUCUCAUAAGAGCCCCAUAGGAUGAAGGGAGGUGCCUCGACAACGAUUCCAAAGAAGGGAAUAAUAGUGAUGUCAACAUUGUCCACCAUGGAUAACACUAGCCAAACUUUCGCCCAACACACUCCACCUCGUACCGACACAAAAGGGUCACACCCCCACUUUUUCACCGACCCACAAGAACCGCAGCACGUGGUCACAGACCAACGCAUGCAGUCAAAUGUAGCAUAUUCAUGUGAAGUUGCUUGUCGUCUGCCAUUGCACAAGCUCAUGAGCUGAUUUGAUCCGUUGUAGACGGAAAGCCAUGCCCAUGACAAGUCAUCAUGGCCAGCCAUGGCUACCAUGCCCCAAUAGCACACAUAGAUGUAUGUGGAAAAAGGCCUCCGAGCAACCGUCAUGCAGCUCCACGUCACAACCACCUUGCUAUCCACACGCCAUAACCAUGUCGCAACUGCCUCUCCACACCCGUGUCGUCCUUCGGGUAUAGCUAACCUGCACACCUCGCCUCCACCACCGAACAACCUCUAGCGGUAGCUCCAAGCGCGGGAGCAAAAGAUCCACCCGAGGGGAUGCCUUAUCCGCAUGCACCGGGUUAGAAUCCUGCUGGCAGUCGCCGCCACGUGUAGGCCUAGUAUGGGAUCCCCUCUGAGAUAAAGAAAGAGGGAGAUGAUGAAGGGUCGAGAUGGCGAACUAGAGGGGGGUGAAUAGUCCUUUCUAAAACUUAACGCGCCGGCUAACCGAAAAAGUGCGGAAUUAAAACUAUCGGUCUAGCCAAGACUAUACCCCUCUAUCUAAGUUCUUUAGCACAUUGUAAAAGAUCCUAAACAAGCAAACAAGGUGCUACCUUAGCAAGAGCUCUCCUAACCAAUUCUAGAAGCAAGGUCACACAAACCUAUGCCACUAGUACUUUGCAAACCGGGGAGCUCCUACACAACUAGUAAGCAAAAGCACAAAGCUCCUAGGCUCACUAGCAAUGCUCAAUAACAAGGCAACCAAUGCCAAAUUAAAGAGUGCAAAAUACUUAGCUACACAAACUAAGCAAUGUGACUAACAAGGUUACACAAACCAAAUUAGUCACGCAAGGGGAACUACUUCUAGCUACACAAGCAAGAAGGUAACUAGCAAGCUACACAAGCUAACUAAUUACAAGAGCAACUACACAACCACAAGUAUAUGAAGUAAAUACAAGCUUGGGUUAAGGACUUGCAAACCAACGGAAGAACAAUGUUGACACGAUGAUUUUCUCCCGAGGUUCACUUGGUUGCCACCAAGCUACGUCCCCGUUGAGACAGGCUCCAAGGUUGUCGUCGGUCCUCUUGCUAGUGGUGACCCACAAGUCACACUCUCCCACUUGGAGUGCUUAUCACAAGCUCUAGCACUUGACCCGACCGGACCACUUGUCGCCCUUCGCGUCUCGCUCUACUAGAGUUGCUCUUCGCGAUCCCCGCGGGGUGAGCACAGUACCCCUCACAAAUCCUCCUCCGGAGCACCGCACAAUCUUCUCGCGUGCUUCAAACGGAGUCACAAUCCACUAAACCGUCUAGGUGAUGGCAAUCACCAAGAGUAACAAGAAAUCCCCAAACACAAAGAUUUCCUAGUGCCACCAAAUGCAAAUCCCGAAUGCACACACACUAGGCUCUCACUCCCUCACUCGAAAUAGCACCAAGCAUCAGAGGGAUAGGAAAGGGAAAUGGUGGAUCUUCAACCUCUCAUCCACACUCACAAGGGGUUCUCAAUCUCUCUAAGAAAUUUCAGCUCAAAUCCAUGAGAGAGAGAGAGGAGAGGGGAAACUCUCGACUUGCUUGCUCUCUGUUUGAAAAAUAAUGGGAGAGCCCCUCUACUGUGUUCCCAAGAGUUGGAGAAGGGAAAGCAAGUGCUCGGUCUAAAAUAACUUGGCCAGCCAGCUCUCCAACGGGCAACAAAAAUAAUGUCGUUUGCCACAACGGGCAGCAGCACAGGCAUUGAGUGGCUCUCUGUAUUUUCUCAGCACUGGGUCCCAGCAAAUAAAUGAGCAAGUGGCAAAGGGCUGCAACCUCCAGCAGUCCACGCGCAUGCACUUCUGCCAAUCUCCAUUCUGAAUGGACGAGCAGCACCUCAAAUUAAUUAAGUACCUCCUUGUACUUGAGUGAACCACUCUAUGAAGAGCAAAGGUCAAUGGUUGCCUCAUUUUAUCAAGGUGUGUUCACACUUGCAUGCAGCCAUGCAAAUCAUCUCUCUCAUUUAAUGUGGCAAGAGCUCCACAACAUGCAACACAUGCAAGUAUGGUCUCUGCCAUUUCCUUCUCACGCACAAGACAGACAGCGUGCAGCAGCUGUAAAUCCUUUCAACUGGUUCCAACUAGCUACAACUGCUUUCAGCUCUCUUUCACCUGCCUGUAGUUGGGCUGCACACUGGAUUUAACUGGUUGCGACUGGUUGUGACUCCUUCCAGCUUCUUGCAAUUUCCUUCACUUCCUUGCUGUUGAGCUGUGCACUGAUUUUAACUGGUUCCAACUGGUCGCAACUGCUUUCAGCUUCUUGCAAAAGCCUUCACUUGCUUGUUGUUAAAACUGUGCACUGCUUUUAACUGGUUUCAACUGGCUGCAACUGCUUCCAGCUUCUUGCAAAAGCUUUCAGCUUGUUUCAGCAGCUUGCAGUUCUUCACCACUUCACCUUCUCUGAAUUUUCAGCAUCUUUUCAAGUAGCUAAUUUUACCAAAAUAUUCCAAAAUAAAUUGUACAUUUAAAUUAGCUUUUCACAAAUAUUUUUCCACGGCUUUCUCAUGCAUCUCACCACGUCACUAAGCGCUAGGUAUAUGCAAAUGAGACUCACACUUAGUGGCACUAGAUAACCAUUGCGAUUAAAGAUUUCCCCUCUUUAUAGUACGGUUAUCUAUCCUAAAUCCUUCUCUACUCAACUUAGACCGGUGAAAUGAAAUGCCCUAUAAGUUAUACCUUUGCCUUGCGCAUUCCAUUUCAUCUCCUUCGAUAUUGAUGCAACACAUGCACCAAUUAAUCACAAAUGAUAUGAUCCACUUCAUAUCCUCACGUGACCAUAUUGGUUCAUCGAUCUUGACCUCACUUGCUCUUCACCGUUGCGUCGGUCCAUCGGCGCCAAGUCUUGCUUAAGCUUUACCGUCACACGCGGUCCCUUGCUUCAAAGCCUCCGACUUGCCCUUCACACUUGCAAACAGUCCAUCGAGCCAAGCCUCAUCUUGAUCUUCUCCACCUUGGUCACAUGACUCCAUGUCAUGUCUCAUAUGCAAUGAGCUCCUCCAAUAUCACAUAUUCACUUGUGAACUAAUCUCCUGUGUAUCUCACAUAAACACUAUUAGUCCACCUAAGUUGUCACUCAAUUACCAAAACCAAACAAGGACUUUUCAGAUGAGAAGACGACCCAACCACCGCCAUCCUUGCUCUCCGCUGGAUUGUCGUCGUUGAGCUCUAGCACUGGCCGCACAAUGAAGGCACUAGGGAGGGGGCAACGUUGGGGCAAGACGGUGUCACCCGGGCCACCCCAUAAAGAGAGGUGACACGGGGGGCUCUCGUGAGACUCGAGGGUGCUGGAAAGUUGAAUCUUGCUUUUAGAAGAUGGCUAAAUCCUAAAUCAAGGGAUCAACCAGAGUUGAUUUGUGAAAAAAGCUGUUAUGUUUCAAUUUUCUCUAAAUGAAGACACGCUCCAAUGAAAAAGGAUAAAAAUGCAAAGAUUUUAUAUUGCGAUACAAUGCAAUAAUUGGAAAUGAGACUGUAUUUCCUACGAACAUAUAUGGAAACAGAAGAUUCCACCAAAUUUUUUUUCAUGUGGCUCAUGGAGAAUAAAAUAAUGCAAUCUUAACUAAGACACAUUACAAGGGAAUGGAUUGACGAUCCUGACUGCGUAUUUUUGUGAUACCGAUGAAUCCUUCGCUCGUAUGUUAUUUGAGUGCACUAGUGGGGUAGAGGUGAACCCAUGCAUUUGCCCCAUUCCUUCCAUGCUUGUUAGGCCUUGUUUAGUUCAUCCCAAAAUCCAAAAACUUUUCAAGAUUCCCCGUCAAUCUUGCGGCACAUGCAUAUGACAUUAAAUAUAGAUAAAAAUUUAACUAAUUGCACAGUUUACUUGCAAGAUGAAUUUUUUGAGCCUAGUUGGUCCAUGGUUGGAUAAUAAUUAUCAAAUACAAACAAAUGUGCUAAAGUAUCAACAUCCAAAAACUUUUUGUAUCUAAACCAUGUCUUAGUGCAUAUAGUAUUGUCUAUAUCUUAUUUCUCUAUGAAAAGUUCCAUUGUGAAGCUACGCAUGGAGACGGGGAAGUCUAGGUUGUAGAGAACAAAUAGAAAAUGAGAGAAGAGCCUACAUAAUAUUGCUGCUACCUACUAUAUUACUGCCACUGAAAUAUUUUUAGCUCCCUCUUGUUUCCUCUCCAUGCUCCACCACUAUCUUAGACUAUCCCAACAAUCGUCAUACAAAAUACAAAACCUAUUUGUCUUUUGAGUAACGCUACAUGAAAUGCCCUAUAAGUUAUACCUUUGUCUUGCGCAUUCCAUUUCAUCUCCUUCGAUAUUGAUGCAACACAUGCACCAAUUAAUCACAAAUGAUAUGAUCCACUUCAUAUCCUCACGUGACCAUAUUGGUUCAUCGAUCUUGACCUCACUUGCUCUUCACCGUUGCGUCGGUCCAUCAGCGCCAAGUCUUGCUUAAGCUUCACCGUCACACGCGGUCCCUUGCUUCAAAGCCUCCGACUUGCCCUUCACACUUGCAAACAGUCCAUCGAGCCAAGCCUCAUCUUGAUCUUCUCCACCUUGGUCACAUGACUCCAUGUCAUGUCUCAUAUGCAGUGAGCUCCUCCAAUAUCACAUAUUCACUUGUGGACUAAUCUCCUAUGUAUCUCAUAUAAACACUAUUAGUCCACCUAAGUUGUCACUCAAUUACCAAAACCAAACAAGGACCUUUCAAUCUCCUCCUUUUUGGUAAUUGAUGACAACUCUACAAAGAUAUGGAAAUUAAAGCUUUUUCAAGCUAGCACUUCACACAAGUGUAAAUUGCUAACUUGCUUUUGGAUUUUAUGCUACUUAUCCAACAUUUAAGCUCAAUGUCAAGAUUUGGAUAAGCACCAUAAAACCCGACUAAGUGCUAAGGUGUAUAGAAUAAACCUUUGUAGCUCGAUACCAUUUUUUUAUAUCAUUUGAAGUAGACAUUGUACACCAUGAAUAGCUAGACAACAAAAACACUAGAAACCAUGUGAGAUCAACAUUAUAAGCAAGGGUCUAGUUUUUUUACUUGAAAAACACAAGUCUAGCUACCAACCUAUGCAUGCUAGUAAUCAUAUCAUCAAUCAAGUUCUAUAACUAGCAUACACCAAACAAGCAUGCAUAUUGCAUUUAAAAACUUAUGCAAUGCAAGCAAGCACAUGAAUAUGCACAUAUCAAAUGCAAACAAACAAGGUUCAUGAGCUUGCUCCCCCUACUUGUGUGCUUCUCACGUUCAAGAAUUUUGAUCCAUCUCUUUUUCUUAAUGUUGCUCCCUCUUUGUCCAUGUCCAUGUCCAAACCACCAACUUCCAAUAUUUCAUAUCUUUUGUACAAAUUUCUCCCCCUUUGUCAUCAAUUUCCAUAAAAGGUAUGUGAUACCAAUUAAAAUCACUUGAUACCAAUUGAAAAAGUGUGCAACUCAUUGUGACAAAGGAUUGCACGUGGGGUAGAUGGUUGAGGCUUGAAUCUUGCAUUUUUGAUGGACAUACCAUGUGUGUUAGAAUGACAUCAUUUGUAUUGCUCUUGAGAUACCACAUAGGAUCUUUGACCUUGAUACCUUUUAGUGGGGCGCCUCCCCCUAUGUCAUAGCAUGGGUCAUUCACUUGUCAAUCUUGUUGGUGAGGAAACUUUCUUUGCUUGAUGAUCACUUAAAGUUGAGGAUCACUUGUGGAACCACCUUCAUGUAUGAUAGAUACCACAUGUACAGAUGUGAUAUCAUUGAAAGAUCUUGUCCGAUACCAUAUGGAAAUUUUCUACCACUUGAAGGUCUUCUAGUAUGGAACCACUUGUGUGCUAUCUUGAACAUUUGCUAUCAUCAUCUUGAGUACCAUUUGUAGGAUAUCACUUGAAGAAAUAUUAGAGUCUAGAUAUCCAUUUGCAUAGUUGUCUUGCUUUUGUACUCUAAUCAUCAUGAGCUUCUAAUUGUUGACUUGAACUAUAUUGAUUUGCCUAAGCUUCCAAGUCCGGUUUGAACCAAUGACAAGCUUUUUCACUCAUAUUAAGGGUUAUCUUGCCAAUGUUGUACUUGUUACUUGUUAACAAUCCAAAAUAGAUCAAGUACUUGGGUUUACUAGCUCAUGAACAAACUCAUAUACAUACCACUAGAUCAAUUGAUCAUUCAAGCAAUAGUGGUAGGUUAUGAAUUUAAAACUUUUCAUUUGUUAUGCAUGAUCCUAUUAAGCAUGUACUAAAUGCACUAACCGCAUACUAGUAACGGAUGAAAUGAUCAUGUACAAUACAAUGAUACCUUUGCUAUGUUGGAGAAGAGGAUAGUCACAUAGAUUCCAAUUCAUUUCUCCAAUAGCAAUGUGAAGUCCAAUUAUAAGCUUGGUGAAGAUAAAUUAUGAAUGCCAAUUGAUAGAUCAAAUCUUCACCCAUAUGAAUUUGAGAACCACUUAUAAUCAAGUCCACUAUCUUUUGUUGUGGUUGGCUUGCUUCAUAUUUUCUUGAUCAUUGCUUGCAUGAGAGAACUACUAAGAAUAUCACUUGAAAUAGCAUGACUAGCUCUCUUUUGGGUGUUGCUUGCUCUCUUGAUCAAUCCUUUUGAUUGCUUCAACUAAGCAUCUCAAAUGUCCUUUAGAUCACCACUUCCAUGUUAGCCUUCCAAGUACCACACUUGGUUAACCCACUCCUCGGGCGGCACGCCCCUCACAUAGGGAGAAGUGACCUCUCUCCAAAGAACUAUUCUUGACACUCACGUGAAUUGCCUUUGAUUGAUUGAUUCAAGUGAUGGACUUAAUAUGAUGAGUAUCCGUGAACCCUUAUUUAAGUCCUUUUCUUUCUACUUGUUUAAGUUCUUUUUUUCUAAAUAAUCUCCAAUAUUCACUAGAACUUAAACUUCAUCUUCAUCUUGAGUUUGAUCUUGAUCUUCAAUUUGAGUACUAAAAUGUGCACACCAAGUACGUUCCACAAUCAAAUGACCUUGUACUCAUUACUUGUCAUGCUUCUAGAUCAAUUCAAAACCAAACUUAGGUGCCUCAAACACUUAUAAUCAUAUUUCCAACUUGAGGACCUUUCAAUUUAAGUGACUCUAGAUCAAUCCAAUAUUUGUCACUUUUCUGAUCGAUUCACGUGACCAUAUUUGUCACUUUCAAUUUAGGUACUCUAUUGAAGGCUAUAGGUAUUGUGUUGGAGACCCAUUUUAAGUUUGGGUUUCUAAAUAGUUUUUUUUAUUGGAGACACCCUUAGUGUCGUGCAACCAAGGUCAUUUUUUAGAAAAUAAUUUGAUCUGCUUUUGGAGCAAAUAAUCAUGGCCAAGGUUAUCUAAUCCAAACAUGUUAUGUUGAGCCUUGAAGAAUAAAUACGGCUUAAAAAUUGGAUGAGAUAUGGGGAAAAUCGCCUUACCCGCUCGCAUGUUGCGAGGAUGUUCAUCAUUCUCUUUAAGUUAUGACGAGUGAUAUUUAGAGGCUGUUUGAUACAGCUCACAACAGCUUUAUGAGCUGUUGUGAGCUGUUUUCUUUUGCCAAACACUUAUUUCCAAAACAACUUCAUAGGUGAAACUGUUUUUCCUCUCCUUUCACAAAGACAUAAGUUGGGAUGAAGUCGAAAAAAGUGGCUUAUUGCAGCUCUCUCCCUCAUUUCUCUCUCUCAACUAUGCAUGAAGUAGUUGGUGAAGCUAUUUUAUCAAACACUUUUUUCAAAACAGCUCAACUUCAUCUAGAAAGUCACUCAUGAAGCUAUUUUCUAAAAAGCCAACUUUACUAGUGAAGUUGAGGUGUGCCAAACAAACCUUUAAACGUGGCUUCUCAACAUGAAAACUUUAUAAUUCUUCUGUUUGAUAGUGCAAGAAAUAUAGAUCGCCCUCUGAGUGCGACCUAAGAGCAAAAUCUUGAAACUACGUUUUUUUUUAAAAAAAACAUCAAUAACCAUGUGGUACUACGUAUAUGAUUUGGCUGGGUCUCCAAAUUGUGUGUGUGUGUCUCUUUUUUUGAGCAAAGUGCGUCUCUCUGAUGAGAUGGGCUCAACCGGCAUCUGGUACCACCAGCCUACCAAGGCCCAACCAACAAGAAAGCAGCUACGCCUCGAGCCCUGCCUUGUCCGUCUCACAAGAAGGGCAAAUAUGGCCUUGUUUAGACGCAUCCAAAAACAUAAAACUUUAUAAGAUUCCUCAUCACAUCGAAUGGCCUUGUUUAGAUGCAUCGAAAAACCCAAAACUUUACAAGAUUCCUCAUCACAUCGAAUUUUGCAGCACUUGCAUAGAAUAUUACCGUGUGUUUGGUUGGAGAGCGGGGCGAGCCGGUUUAGAGUGAACCCGUUCCUAUGGCUGUUUGGUUGGAGGAUGAGAGGGUUGAGUUGGCUCCAGAGUGGAAUAUUCCUCUCAGAUGCGGGCUGGACUCGUCCGUCAAAAUCUGGCGGACGGAGCCGCUCCAGCCAGGUUGAUGUUCACCAAACACUAAAUCCUUCAACCAAACACUGAACGGAGCCGCUCCGCUCCCAAUCCUUCAACCAAACACUAAAACGGGUUGAGUCUGUCCCUAAAAUCGAAGUGCAACCAAACACUCUUUUGGGUUGGCUCCGUCCCCAAAAACUGGGUUGGAUCGAACCCAACCCACCCAACCUCCAACCAAACACACGGUUAAAUAUAGAUAAAAAAGAUAACUAAUUGCAUAGUUUACCCGUAAAUCACAAUACGAAUUUUUUAAGUCUAGUUACUCCAUAAUUGAACAAUGUUUGUCAAAUAAAAACGAAAGUGUUACAUUGUCAAAUCCAAAAAAAAUGAUCUAAAUAAGGCCUAUAUCCCUAAAAAAACAAGAAGGGCAAUAAUGAUCUGGGCCCGGCUGCGAACCGAGCGCGGGCCGAAUGGCCGCCGAGCCGAGUACAGUACAAGUGGUACCAGCGAAGGCAGAGCUGGAAAGCGGAAGGAAUCGCCAAGGCGGAGAGGUGCGCAUCGAGUCAUCGACGAUGGAAGCAUGCAAUGCAAUGCAAUGCAAACACACCCAAAAGCGUCGCGAUCCGCCGGCCGCCGCUGCUUCGGCGCCCCUUGUUCCGCACCGCUGCUGCGCCAAGUGCCCACAGCACCAUCAUCCGCGGCCGCUGGAUCGUCUACAUCCGCGUUGCCUGUGCCCGUGGCACACUCCGAGGAGUCGAGCUACUCCACUGCUACAAUACAACUCGUACACGACUUAUUAUAUUCUAACUGGGAUCAACAGAUAAUUAAUUUUCACCAACUUCAGCUUUUUCUUUUAGACUUAUCAUCCGAAUCUGUCAGCUAUUUAGUGGUAUUUUUUUCUCAUAAUAAAUCAGCUAAUAAUACUUUCUAUCAUAACUUAAUUAUCAGCUAAACGAACAAGAAAGCCCUACUCACUUGUAUAAAUCCAACGGAAUUACUGUUCAUUGGAGAGUCAAGGAGCAGAGACCGAGAACAGUUAUCUCUGAUUUAAAGAAAAGAAAGUGGCGAAUUGGGAUACUCAGACUCAUAGCUACAUUUGACGAGGAAAUUAAAUAGCAUCUGCUUGAAGCAAUCAUAUAAGCAAAGAAUCGAUUGAGCUUUCUUGGUACCUCUAGCUAUUUUAGCUUUUGCUAUAACUAGCAAAUAUGUUUGCAUCAGUUAAAGAAACGAAAAGGAUCAAAAUAAACUCUUUGAUCUUUUAAUAUGAUUAUAUAGAUAGACAAACAUAGAUUAGAAUUACUUUUUGCUUUUUAAUAUUAUACUAUAUUAUAUAUAGGUAGAUAAAUAGAUAGAUAGAUAGAGAUACUUUAUAUAUAGAUAGACAUACUAGAUAGAUAAUAAAUAUAAAUAGAUAGAUAUAUAUACUGUAGCUAGACAGAGAAGAGGAUAUAGAGAUAGAGACAGGAUGGUAUCUUUACAUAUUUCUUUUUUUUUUAAAAAAAAGGUAAAACCUCCUAGAAAAAUCGAUGGUGGCAGUAGGGGCCACAUGUCAUCGUGAGUACUGGUCGGCCGGCCUCAUGUGAUCACAUGGGAGGCCACAAACCUUACCUCGCCUAUAUUAUCCUGUGCCCCUUGUCUUCCUUUCCUCUACCGGAAGGCGAAAUCCAAUCUAGAAGCGGCCCUCCUCCCUCUCCUCCCCAUCCGAACCAAAUCUAAUCGACGCUUCCCCGAGAUGGGCCGCAAGUUCUUCGUCGGCGGCAACUGGAAAUGCGUAAUUUCUCUUCCCCCGUCGACAUGCCUGUCUUUCUUUUCGUGGAUCGGAUGCGGUUAGGCUAGUUUUUUCCUUUUUGGGGUGGGUGGGGGUGAUACGGGAUAAAUUUCUAGUGGAUUCUGUUGCUCUCGAUUCAGAUCAGAUCGUCGUAAGAAUUGGGUUUUUGCUCUUGGAUGGAUGGGAAGCCUGGAUGUGAUUCCUCCAGGCGUAAUAAUCUUCCAAGAUCCGUCCACGGAUUGAAUUGAUCUGGUCGUUCUCGUUCAAAACGGAAUCAGGGAUCUUCCGAAAACAAACAAAACAGAAUCAGACAAGGUGAUGUUGAUGGUCUUUGUAUGUUUUGACCUUGCUGGAAGUGCCCGCGUUCUUCUUCCAAUCCGCCCGUGCUUCCAGACUCCAGCUAGCUUUCUUCUUCCAAUCCGCCCAUGCUUCCAGACUCCUGCGCAAAAACAAAUCGAAAAAAAAACUUUUAUCGUAGUUUUGUGAUGCAUGCAUGUUGUCUGUAGCAGCAUAGAAGUUCGAUCUCCAACUUCUGGAGAUCCAUUCUUGUCUGCCGCACGAAUUAACCUUAGCUUCUUGUCAUGGAGCUCGGUUAAUUUUAGAUGUUUCGUGAAGGAGCUUGCUCAAUCCGAGCAUAGAUUGGAGCCCCUUGGCGACUUCAAUACUCGUUGGCCGUGAAAGAGCUUGUUGCUUUGCCAAAUUUUCCUAUACAAGUGGUAUUUAUAAAGUGAAUUGCUUGGUAACUGAUCAUGUCAUGGUUGAUCUUGAUGCUUGCAGAACGGAACCACAGAUCAGGUCGAGAAGAUUGUCAAAACCCUGAAUGAAGGACAGGUUCCCCCUGCAGAUGUUGUUGGUAUGGACACAGAAACUUUACAUAAUGCCUUUUAGUACUGACCUAGAACUCUGCAGAAUUACCAAAUCCAUCCCGAGAAAUUUAUUAAAGCAUAUUGUAUGAUGUACUUAGCAAUUUGAAAUUGGUCCCAUUGCAGAGGUCGUUGUCAGCCCUCCUUAUGUCUUCCUAACUGUGGUCAAGAGCCUGCUGCGCCCAGAGUUCCAUGUUGCUGCUCAGAACUGCUGGGUGAAGAAGGGAGGUGCUUUCACUGGUGAAGUCAGGUUAGACUUUACUUCUCUUGUAUGAUCACACCAUAUGUCAUGAUGACCAAUCUGAGGAAGGAUUAAUGUCAAAUCUUCAAUGCAAAUGCAUAGUCUUUCACUAGAAUAAUUGAUUUGGUUCUCUUGACCAUUAAACAGAGUCUUUUGAAGUCACCUUUCACGCCUUCAUUUAAUUUUAAAUAUUUUCAUACUGAUUAACUGAUGCUAUGUUAAGCAUUCUGCAUAUCUAACCUAAUUCAGCAGUUUGUAUAUUGCGUUUUGUCGUUUUCUCCAUUCAAUUUCAUUACUAGUUUACAACGAAGCCAUUAUUAAUGCAGUGCUGAGAUGCUCGUCAACCUUGGUGUUCCCUGGGUCAUCCUUGGACACUCUGAAAGGAGAGCUCUGCUGGGAGAAUCAAAUGAGGUAUGAUCCAGGUUGCAUCUUAUGCAACAUGUCUUUUGUGUCAUUUGCACUGUGGUUGUAAUGCAUGCAUAUUUCCAUUUGGGACUAUGUUGUAGUUACCGAUCUACUUUAAUCCUUCCCUCAUACACCAACCAAGCUGUUCCAUUGUGAUAUAUUUGAUUGUUGAGAUGUACUGUGGAGGGCUGGUGGCCCGUCUUCACACCAUAACCACUGCUGUGUAAAGGAUGUUCACAUCUAAUGGUCUUACUCUUCUGCUUGAUGCCAGUUUGUUGGAGACAAGGUUGCUUAUGCGCUGUCUCAGGGACUAAAGGUCAUUGCAUGUGUUGGUGAGACCCUUGAGCAGAGGGAGGCUGGGUCAACAAUGGAAGUUGUUGCUGCACAAACAAAAGCAAUUGCUGGUACUUUUCAUUUACUUUCAGUCUGGUGAUUGUGUAGUCUCUUUCUGUGCUCUUCAUGGUUAGUUUUUUUAUAUGAUAAUGAAGAGUUGUUGGUUGAUUAUAUUCAAGCUUUCUACAGUUAGCUCCCAUGCAUAGAACUUCAAGAUUAUAUAAAUGUGGUAUAUAUUUGCUGGUGAACACUUUGCUUCUGGUUAAUUUUAUUUUAUCUUGUCCAUGCUAAUAAUUCGAUCUUGGCUUUCAGUUUGGUAGACAUCUGCAUGUGUACUCCAUUCCAAAUUACAAACCGUUUUAGCUUUUUUUUAGAUUCAUAAAUUUUGGUAUGCACCAAGCUGUAUGUUAUGUCUAGAUGUCUAAAUACAUAGUAAAAGCUAUGAAUCUAGAAAUGCCAAAACGUCUUAUAAUUUGGGACAGAGGAAGUAGUUUAGACAUUACUGAUUUUCUGUAACAGCUUUUGUGUGCUUCUGUUGCUUGACUUGGAUAUGCUGGAUUCCCUCCCCCCUCUUUCCUUUGUUUGGUUCAUGUAAACUUUGCCUUUCUUUGAAUUUUACGAUGCCAUAUGAAAAUUCAGGCUAAAUGGAUCAAAUGGCUGUUUGCUUUACAGAGAAGAUCAGUGACUGGAGCAACGUAGUUGUUGCCUAUGAACCAGUAUGGGCCAUUGGAACUGGUAAAGUUGCCACCCCAGCUCAGGCUCAGGAAGUAAGUUCUGUUCUCUCUUGGUACACACUCCUUUAUUCUUCUUUUAAUAUUAUAUAUUUUAACCAGUAGGGUUGCCUAGGGGCUACCCCUCCUGUUUCUUGAACAAAAAAAAAACACUCUACAAAGUCGUUGUAUAUAUUUUUAUGUGUUUCAAUAUUGGGCUGUGAGCUGUAUGCACUAUGAUUAUAAAUAUGUUGAUCUGCUACACACAUUAUCCUUUUCUUCGCGCAACACUCAGAUUUUCAUUAUGUUCCCAGGUGCACGCAUCCCUGAGGGAUUGGCUAAAGAUCAACGUCAGCCCUGAGGUUGCUGAAUCUACAAGGAUCAUCUACGGAGGUAUAUACAUUUUUGGAGCAAUUGCCUUGGUGUUUUAUGUACUGGAUGCUAAAUCAUCUUGAUAAUCAAACCACACGUGCCUUUUGCUACAGGUUCUGUAACUGCAGCGAACUGCAAAGAGCUAGGAGCACAGCCUGAUGUCGAUGGUUUCCUUGUCGGUGGAGCUUCUUUGAAGGUAAUGAAAAAUCCAGGACAGUUGAUGUCCUGUUCCUUUCUUUUUUCUCUGUGAACCAAAGAAACAACAAAAUGACUGCUGGCCUUGUCAACAACCCCAUGUUGCUGACCGUUUCUUUCCCUAUCUUGUCUGCAGCCCGAGUUCAUCGACAUCAUCAACGCGGCCACCGUGAAGUCCGCUUAAGAUGUUCCAACCCUUCACCCUGAUGCAGAGAUAUGCUGAAGAGGAAGGAACAUACAUUUUUUUGUUUAACUGUGCUAUGUAAGCUAGUAGUAACUUUGCGCUGGAGCAUAUACUGUUUUCCCUCCCCCCCAGCUUUUUGGGAGGCUACAGCUUGAGCUUGCUAAUAAUGUUUACCUCUGGACAUAUCAAUAAUGGUGUUUAUGUAGACCUUUUUUUGUGGCGAAUUAUGAUGGAUCCGUCAUCAGAACCAUGGGUUUGGUGUGUCCGUGUGUGUCGUCAGAACCAUGGGUUUGGUGUUUGUGAUACUAAGGGUGCGUUUGAUAGGAGAAACGUUUCAGCUUUUGAUUGAGAAUCACCUGAAUCACUUCCAAACAGUCUUCCAGCAAGUGAUUCGAAACCGAAAUGUUUCACUGUUUUAACUUACACAUGUGAAAUCGCUGGAGGCUAGUUUUGCAUUUCGCAUAUUCUCAUCUGUUGCCUUUUUUUUUGGAUUCGUUUUUUCAGUUAGUUUUUUUUAUUCAAGGAGUUAGUUUUUUUAGUGCAACAAGUUAAAAUAAUUUUUUUAUCAUAUUUUUAUUUAAGCGAUUUUUUGAAUUGGAAUCCAGUUUGCUAGCCGAACUUCAUGUUUCAUAAAAUAAAAUGGUUAUAGUGAUUGUGAUUCAUCAUGAGAAACUUUUUUUUUUAAAAAAGAAUCUGGAUUCAAAACGUUUCUGUGAGGCCUGCCAAACGGCAAACGCACCAUGAGCCUUGCGUCAACAUUGGUAGAAUGCUGCCAAAAUUGUAUUGAUCAUUUGUGCCCGGUACGGAUUAGCCUGAUUUGCGAAAGCAACUUGUCAGCUGAUCGUUGCACGGAGGCAGCCAGCCAAUUAUUGUACGAUAUCCGAAAUCCUCAGCCACAGGACGCUAGGAUCCUGGGCGGUUGGGACAACAUCAUCAGAUUCAUUUGCCAAGAUGAAAUGAUGAUGGGAAUUAAUGGAUGUUAUAAUGUUCUCGGAGCAUACUGGCGUUUUCUCACGCGAUCGAUCUGCAGGGCAUUUUUAUUUCAGCAGUGCUGCUCUGGCCAAUUGCACAUUAAUUCUUAGCACUCGUUUUUUUUUUUUUUUUUUUUUUUUUUUUUUUUGCCUUCAGCUUCAGAUGUGAGUCUGUAUCGGAGGACUCCAAACGGGCUUAGUCUGAAUCGGGGUUUCAUCACAAUAGUAUGCUUUCAUAGAUGAAAGCAUGCUUUUAUAUAUAGAUGAAAAGCCCAGGAAGAAGAUUUAGCCCCCGCGAGAUUCCAUUGGCAAGCAGUUUGAGGAUCCAUCUUAUUCUAAAUGAGGCGGUGCAAAUUUGAUGAUCCCAUUCCUUAUACUAGUGACUACUAAUUUGUAGGAAAUGAGAUGACGAUAGAUUAACUCAUUAAUUACAAGUAAAAAGAUGAUGGCUAAUUCAUACAUGAAACACAAAAGAAGAGUACAUGUUGGUGACUUCAGCAUCUUCAUUAGAUCUCUUAUACUGCGUCUUCUAUAAUAGGAGAGUACCUUAAAAUCUUUAGGAUAUAAGUGAACACCGUUGAAGCCGAUUUAUCAAAACAUGUCUCCUUUUGUUAGGAUAUGUGAUGGAUAUGCUGUUAAGUAUGUAUGCCUAUAAUAACACAUAAAAAGAAUCAAAUAUCUAUUCAUGUUUACAAAGGAAAUAUGAAUCAACAAUGUUAAAGAUUAUUUUUUCGCUAAAACACAAAUAUACGUACUCCCUCCGUAUAGGAAUUAGAAGUCGUUUUGAACAAGAUUUAGAUCAAAAUAUUGAGAAUAUAAAUCAUCAAUAACUUUUAAAUUGUUGAGUUUGCAAAUGCAAAAAUUAUAUGAAUAUAUUUGUCUUAAAAAAUACUUUAUAAAGUGUACAUAUAUUAUUAUUUUUUAAAUAUUUUAUAAAAAUAAGAGGUCAAAGUUAUGUUUUGAAGACUGUGUCGUUGUUCUAAACGAUUUCUAAAUCCUACACGGAGGGAAUACAAUAAUGGGCAUGGCUUAAUUGGCAGGAUCAAACCUAUAUCAAUCCAAGUAGGUCAGUAUAAGUGCUCUCAUUUUCCUAUAAUUUUUAAUUUAUAAAUUUAUGAAAAAGCAACAUUGUUAUUUGUAAAUUUAUAUAGGAGUAUAAGAUGUGUGUUUUUUGAAAAAAAAAAUGUGAGGAAGACGAAGAUCCCUCAUCAAAGUGACCUCGGUAACAGACGCCGUCACGGGCAUAAAUUCGCAGCCCCUCGGUAAGCAACUCCCCCCCACACCCCGAGCGUUGCGUCGCGUCAACCGCUGGGGAAUUUAAGCUGGUCAUGCGUUGCAUUGCAUGGGGGCCAGCCAUUUCCGUUGCGCGCACGGGAAGCCUGACGCGACGCCGACGCGCCCCCGCCACCGUUUCGUCGCCUCUCCCUCUCCCUCUCCCUCUCCCUCUCUCCCUGCCCCGAGAGCGGCGGCAACCCCUUUCUCCGCGCGGGGCUCUUGCCUCUUGCGUUGCCCGCCACGCUCUCGGUGCUCUGGCAGCAGCGAGAGACGUCGCUCUCACUCCCCGCGGCCGCUAUCGUCUCCCACUUUUUUGUUGCCCGUGCCGCCGGAGGAGAGACUGAGACUGAGAGAGCACCACAUAAAUGAGCUCGCCGACGCCAUUACGCCCCACCGCCGCCGCCGGCGGCGGCGGCGCCAGCAGUUACUACACCGUCCACCGGCGGCGGGGGCGACCGGGCCCGGGCGCGGGCGCGGGUUUAAGAAGGCCGCGGGUGCGCCGGUGCAAGAUGAAGCUCAUGUACUUCCUCAUGGACAGGGACGAGCAGCGCGAGAAGCGGCUGGAGCUCGAAUUCGAGGUCAGCUGCUGCACUGUCUCUUCAGACUUCAGUCUUCUCCAUGGGGUGGCAGGCAUCGAUCGGUGCUGACGUUGUGUGUGUGUGUGCAGGUGUCGGAGCUGGAGACGGCGCUCGAGAAGGAGCAGCAGCUGGGCAGGGUCCUGCAGUGCUCGCUGCAGGGGCGCGUCGUCUGCCAUUGCUGCCUCUCCGCGCUGGUUCCUACCAACGUAAGCACCUCUCACACCCUCUGCAUGCUCACUUGCACUGCACUGCA